CAAACUUAAGCUUCUUCGAAACUUUCUGAUAUCGUACUCUCGAUUUUUGAAAUGGUAACAGAGCCUAGGUAAUCCACCAUCCAGAAAUGCUUUAAAAAUUGCUAACUUACAAGAUGUGAUUGAUGCGUGUAGCCAGGAACCGUUGUCUGUGACGCAGUAUUAUACUAUCAUUAAGGCCUCGUGGGAGGAGUAUAGUCAGUUUGCUCCAAUUGUUCCUUGUACUUGUGCCCCUACGAAUACUGCAGCUAUUUGUCCAGCAGUGGUUACUUUUCAGGAAAAACAAGAUACAGAUUACUUCAUCAAGUUCAUUCGAGGUUUGAAUGCGGAGUUUGACAUUGUGAAGACUCAUUUGCUCAUUAUGGAACCCUUGCCUUCGAUCACUAUAGCCUAUGAUCACGCAUUGCAACAUGAAGAAAAAAUUAAAGGGGGAGUCACCUUAGGCAAGGAAGCCAUGCAUGGCACACCAACAGCGUUUGUAGUGUCCUCUCCCCCUGGUAAAGAGGUUCCUACAGCUCUAGCUGUCUUCAAUUCAAAAUUUUCUGCAUCUGAAAAGUCAGCCCCAAAGAAGUUUUUUCGAUACUGUCUCAAGGAAGGGCACAUAUUGGAGGAAUGCAACAAACUGAAGUGGAAAACGAAGCAGCAAGAGCAAGAACGUCUAGCUGGUGGGAACCCUAACCAUUUUGCUGGUACUGUGAGUCAGGGAGGAACCAUGCCUAUCGCCUCUUCACCAUCAGCAAAUCCUUCUUUCACUCCAGAAGAGUUCAACCAGCUUAGACUCCUGCUGCAAGGCUCAAAAUCAGUACCUAGAGGACAUGCUGGUACUCAGGCCAUGCCCCCACCACAACCUUCAAACUCCUCUGGUAAUUACGUUCUGUCUUCUGCUUGUAACAACUUUGACAAGGUUUGGAUUCUAGACACAGGGGCAUCAGAUCAUAUUGCCUCUUCCCUUGACCAAUUCACAGCCUUUAAACCCGUAUAUGAUAUGUAUGUUUAUUUGACAAUCUUUGAGUGUAUUGUUGUUAGCCAUGUAGCAGACAUCACUUUACCUAUUGGUCUUACCUUUCAUGGUGUUAUGCAUGUCCCUCAUUUUACAUUUAACCUCAUAUCAAUCAGCAAAUUGACCGAUGCCUUACCUAUCUCUAUUUCUUUUCAUUCCAACCAAUCUCAAAUUCAGGACUUACUCACCAAGAAGACGAUUGGUUCAGCUAUAGAACAUAAAGGCCUCUACCAUCCCCAUAACCCCAACCUCGAGCAAUGUCAAACAUAGCCAGGAUAGACUCAAACUGUUAGAAGCAUGUAAUAAUGGUGUUGUUAGUGAGAAAAUCACACAUUGUCAUGUUUGUCAUCUUGCUAAACAGAAAUGCCUUCCUUUUCAAUCAAGUAUUAAUAGAGCCUCUGGCAUUUUUUAGUUAAUUCAUGUCGACAUAUAGGGUCUCUUAGCCACAGAUUCAUAUGAUCAUUAUUCAUACUACUUGAUAUGGGUGUAUCUAAUGAGGCAAAAUCAGAACCUAGAGGUCACCUGAAAUCAUUUCAUCAUAUGGUUAAAACACAGUUUAACAAAGUCAUUAAAAUUAAACGAAGUGAUCAAGGGCAGGAAUUUCAUAUGUCUGAAUUAUUUUCUAAUCAAGGUAUCAUCCACCAAAUGUCAUGUGUUCAGACCCAGAACAAAAUGUAAAAGUAGAGAGAAAACAUCAACACAUUUUGAACGUAGCUAGAGCCCUUAGGUUUCAGUCAGGACUCCCUCUACCUAUUGGAGUGCUUGUGUUUUGCAUGCUGUUUAUUUGAUCAACCGCAUGCCCGCUCCUAUUUUAGACAAUCACUCUCCUCAUUAAAAUAUUUUCAAAGUCUCUCCAAGUUUCAGUAAUUUGAAAGUGUUUGUAUGUGUAUGCUAUGCAUCUACUCUAGCGCAUCAUAUAACUAAAUUCCAAAGUAGAGCUAGACUAUGCAUUCUCUUGGGCAUACCUGCAGGAAUCAAAGGUUAUAAACUGCUGGAUAUAGAGUCCAAGCAGGUUUUCAUAUCACGAGACAUGGUUUUCUACAAGAAGAUCAUACCACUCAAAGGUUCUUGUGACACCAAUCAACCUACCUUACCUCAGAACCUACCAAGACCAAAUGAACCAUCAAACUUCACUGAAACUCUACCCCUUCAAGCUCCACCAGAAAUGCCUAUCCCAACUAACCAAACUCCACCACACUAUGACCCUGAUGGUUCUAAUCUGAGUUUGCCCUUGUCGAGUUCUUCUUGUCAGAUGCAGGAUGUUUUAGCUGAGGAUGAGGAAGAAGUGGAGAAAGAAGAAAUUCCCUGUGAAUGAGGAGACGCCACAAACAGUAUACCAACUGUUGAAUUCAGGAAGUCCAAACGAGCCACCAAGCUGCCAAUUUACCUGCAAGAUUAUCAUCUAAGCAACAGUGUUAGCAAACACCCCUUGGCUGCUGUUUUAUCAUAUGAUAAUCUGUCAGAUAAUUUCAGAAGAUAUGCGUUAAAAUUGAUCACUCAUCAAGAGCCAGCCACAUAUGAAGAAGCAGGACAGAUCAUGUGUUGGAUUGCAGCCAUGAAUGAAGAAUUAGCAGCACUAGAGGGAAAUCAAACAUGGGAAAUAAUCGCAUUACCAACAGGGAAGAAGGAAAUUGGUUGCAAAUGGGUGUACAAGAUAAAACUAAGGUCAGAUGGCACUAUAGAGAGGCACAAAGCAAGGCUAGUGGUGAAGGGUUUUACACAGAUAUAUGGAAUUGACUUCAUGGAUACCUUUUCAUCGGUGGCUAAAAUCAAUUCAGUUAAGACCAUCUUAGCAGUUUCAGCUUCUAAGGGAUGGUACUUGGAGCAAAUGGACGUUUCCAACACUUUUCUCCGUAGAGAUCUUGACGAAGAAGUAUAUAUGUAAGCUCCUCCCGGCCUUGAAAUACCUCCUGGAAUGUGCUGCAAGCUGAAGAAGUCCCUAUAUGGACUCAAACAAGCUAGCCGCCAGUGGUUUGCUAAGCUAACCACAUCAUUGCUCAGACCAUGGAUUUAGGCAAUCCAGCUCCGGUUAUUCACUUUUCAUCAAAGAUACUCAACAGGAUCAAUGAAGCUUUUGGUAUACGUGGAUGAUAUCAUCCUUGAUGGAGAAAAUAUGACGGAUAUUGCAGCGGUGAAAGCAUAUCUUCAGUCAGUGUUCAAGAUCAAGGAUGUGGGAACAUUAAAUUACUUUCUAGGUUUGGAAGUGGCCAGAUCAAAACAGGGCAUCCCUGUGAAUCACUGAAAGUAUUGUGUGGAACUUCUAGCUGAUGCAGGAUCCCUAGAAGCAAAGGGAACUAAAUCACCUAUAGUAAAGCAGGGAGAACCAUUGGAUGAUCCAAGUCGAUAUAGACAACUUGUUGGGAAAUUGCAUUACAUGACCAUUACUAGGCACGACAUUGCUUUUGUUGUACAACAAUUGAGCCAAUUCCAGUCAGACCCUUAUACCGAGCAUAUGAAUGCUGCUUGUAGAGUUCUGAGAUAUCUAAAAAUGGUUCCUGGACAAGGUCUAUUUUACAAAGUUGCAAUGCACUGGAAUUGCAGGGAUAUUGCGACUCUGACUGGGCUACAUGUCCAUAUACCAGGAGAUCCAUAUCCGGUUAUUGCACGUAUAUUGGAGGCUUUCUACUCAUAUGGAAGUAAAUAAAAAAACUAAUGUAUCCAGAUCUUCAUUUGAAGCAGAGUAUAGGGCAUUAGCACAUCUAGUCUGUGAAGUACAGUGGCUGAACUCAUUAUUGGCAGAAAUGGGAAUACAAAUUCCUACACCUAUUAAUAUUCGAUGUGAUAAUAAAUCUGCUAUUAAUAUUGCUGAAAAUCCUGUGUUUCAUGAGCGUACGAAACACAUCAAGUUGACUGCCAUGUGACCAGGGAGCGAAUCAAAUCAGGACUGAUCACCUUGAGGUAUAUGUUCCUACAAAAUUUCAGUUAGCCGGAAAAAAUCUACGGCAAAUUUUUUCGAUGACCGGAAAAAAUCGCCGGCAAAUUUUUCGAUGACCGGAAAAAGUGUCGGCAAUUUUUUUGAUCACCGGAAAAAAUCGUCGGUAAUUUUUUCGGUUGACAAAUGUUUUCAAACUCCUGGUCUAACUUCAGAUGUUCCGCUUAGACUUGACAGAGUAUCAUUCGUAACUUAUGGAUUUCAAAUCAUCGGAAUUUUGUUUACAUUUGAAAUUACAAAGGAAUUGGGGUAAAAUGAAAAUCUCAAAUGUCAUCCAAACACCAACGUUUGAUAUUUAAAAUACCAAAUGCAACCGCCACUAUUUAGGUAUAAUUAGAUUCAUAGAUUGAUGUUGGAUAACCAAUCUUGAGUGGGGGGAGGAGCAUGUUGAUUUCAGUUUACAGUGUUGACACGAUGGGAAGUUGAUGACUUUGUAUUGUCUCUACAAUGUAUGUCCUAAUAGGGGUUUAUGGGCAUGUUGAUGUGGGUCAUAUCUAAUCUUAUUGUCUAGAGAUGUGCAUGUUUACUUCAUUUGACGUUCUGAUUUAAUGAAAAGGCUGAUGAGGUUCUUCAUGAUUUAAAUUUUAUAUUACAAUGAAUCGGGUAUCACUGGGAAAUUUCAAUUGGUCACUUUUGGAUUCAAGCUCCGAGCACAUGUCAGUGGAUGCAUCUGCCAGAAAUCAGAUUACAGAAUUACAAAGAUAUCUAAUGGAUAGAGAGAUUCCAAGCAUACGAAACAACAACCGAAGUUUCAAAAUAAAAAACAGAAAACAGCACACUGAGAGGCUAUCGUUCUGUAGCCACCGUCAAGUCUUGCCUGAGCCCAACACCUGCCAAAAAUCAGUUCCCCUACUUCAUAAUAUCCACCAUUUAAAUAAACGGACUAAGACACGGAGAAGGAGGAGGCAUGCGACAAGAAUAUGCUCGUAAUUUGAGACCCUCAUCAAAAACGAGAACCUCGUCGAAUUGUUGACCAUUUUAAUUAUGAUUCAUGUUGAUGCAAUUCAUAGCCCUAAAAAAAGUUGAAUUAGGAUGAAAAUUCAGAUUAGGAUAUACACAGGCGCUCGCUUUAUGAGCACUAUCAGCGACGAUAACGGCUAGCUUUCCAUUCCCACCCCUUGCCUUCUCUGCGUACCAACUUGGAGUUGGACUUUAUACGUACUAGUAAGUAUACAUCAUGAAACAUAAAACAUCCUCCAGCCAGUAUAUGGCCAGCCAAACACACCUAAGUCACCUAUAUAUUGAAUUCAUUCGAGAACCAACAAAGUCAACCGAAAUCCAUUGAACACGAAAUUAAGCAUCCAUCCAUCAAGCUGUUGGUGAUUAACAUUAAUCCUGGAUAAGAACAAGACUCAGGUACAUGGAACAUCAUCCAUCAACACCUCGUUGUGCAAAAAUACACUACUUAUGUUUAGUUGGUUUACAUCAACAGAGGGUUUCCUUCAACCCAGAAAUUCAUCCGGCGCCAUUUCAGGAUGGCACUCACAAAAGUACGUGUGUUCGGGAUACUGACCAACCACAUAGUGUCCUGCGGGAUGGAGAAUCGGAGUCUCAAAGUUUCCCAAGCACAUUGUACAACGAUCAGAGAUGUCUGCAACAUUCAAUUAAAGAUCCAUAAGCUAUUUAGUAGAAAAGAUUGAUGCCAAUAACAUACACAGAAACUGCGAGGUACAUUUAGUAACAAAAGGGUAAAUAGAAAGGAUCAUAUACUAGCCAUCUAUGAUAUACAUACCAUGCAAUAAAGAAAUUCAUAACCACAUGAAGAGCAUACAAAGUGUACAAAAGCUAACUUCCUGAAUACAUAGCUAUCAAUUAAUAAAAAAACAAACGACGACGAGGAGUAAUUGAUACUUACUAGGUUCAUCAUCAGGAUCAAAAGUAACACAGUCCCAAACAUGACAGUCUUCAAACGGCUGAUUCCCUGACCCUGAGCCCUCUUUCUUAGCCGUAAAGUUGACAUGUACGACAUCCAGACCAAUACGAUGUCGGCCAUUGCUGUUCAAGGGAAGAACAAGCGUGUAGGAGAGGCCCUGAGAUUAAACCCAGCAGAUAGAGAAAUUACAGUCGCAGCAAGGUAAGCCAUGUUGGAAAAAAGAGAGCCGUUUGAUGACGGGAAGAAAACAAAACUACCGUCUUUUGGUUGUAGUACUCCAAAGCAUUGUUAGCAGAUGUUGUGGUUUGGUCAAGAAGAUAUUUUUGAAGACGAGAAGCAGCAUUCAGCUGAUGAGUGGAAGGACUUCCAGAACUGCAAGUUUCAAAUGAUCCAAGAAGCAUAAGCAGUGCAUUAUUAAAUUCAUUAACUGGACACACAAGGGAAAGGUUGAAUCAACAAAUAAAACAGGUGAUAAAACACAACAAAUAAAACAGGUGAUAAUAAGAUUACAUUGCGCUCUUGCUAUAAUUUUUCCCCCUUCCCAUAAAACCUAGAUACAUUUGUCGGGUAGAUUUCUAAGGCCAUGAUUCCGAUGCAGUUUCCAGCUCUCUGUUUUCCAUGUCGUAAAUUCUUUAAAAUUACUGAAUGAGUUGAUUCAAGGGGGGUUAGUAUCUCAAUUUUCAUGAUAAUGUGAUACUUCGACUUCUCUUGAUAACAUGUUAAGUCUGCAUAGAUUAAUGUCGAAUCAAUGUGGUUGAAUGGGUUUUAUCUACCUGGCUACCAGAAAUGCAAGGUAUUUGGAAUUUCCAAGUUAUUUUAGUAUUUGAAAAGUAAAGAUAGGGCAUUUAAUUAGUGGUGGGGUGUGUUUGAGUUGUAUUGCUUCCUGAUUCCAAAAAGGUACCAAAUAAUGGUUUAAUAUGUAUUUAUUUCUCAUUAAUGUGCUUCGUGGGUUAGGAAGUUUUGGUCAUGUGAUGGUGCAUACACACUAUUACAAUAUGGUGAUUGAACUUAUUAUCCAAUUGAAGUUGAUGGUUUUUUUUAGUAUUUAUCAUGGUGCUUAGGAGUUUUAACAUUCUCUAAAGAUAAUUAAUUUUCUCUGAUUCUUUUUGCAGUUAAUGUAAUAAAUUAUUUUAUUCUAACGAAGAACUUUUGAUGUUAUGGCUUAUUGUUAGGUUUUUUUUGUGGUUGGUCUUUUUGAAGAUAUUGUUGAUCUAAUGGUGCCAGUUAUGAAAAUGAAACCAAAUCCACAAAAGUCUUAUGCAUACAUUGAUGGUUUAGAUACUCAUAUACAGGAAAUCAAAGAAUCAGCUGAGCUUCCUUUGACUCACUAAAAACCAUAUAAAGGAAUGGUAAAAUUGAUAAUUAAUUUACAAAUUAAGAAAAAAUUACAAUAUAUAUUAAUAAUUAUAACUUAUAUAUUAUCCGAANNNNNNNNNNNNNNNNNNNNNNNNNNNNNNNNNNNNNNNNNNNNNNNNNNNNNNNNNNNNNNNNNNNNNNNNNNNNNNNNNNNNNNNNNNNNNNNNNNNNNNNNNNNNNNNNNNNNNNNNNNNNNNNNNNNNNNNNNNNNNNNNNNNNNNNNNNNNNNNNNNNNNNNNNNNNNNNNNNNNNNNNNNNNNNNNNNNNNNNNNNNNNNNNNNNNNNNNNNNNNNNNNNNNNNNNNNNNNNNNNNNNNNNNNNNNNNNNNNNAUAUAUAUAUAUUACCAAAUAUAUAUUUUUGGGCUAAGUAAUGAUUUGAUAUGCAUCAAAAGUACAAAAGUAAUAUUAUGAAUUUGCAUGGUCCAAAUCGAAACUGGUCUGUCAUCAAACCAGUUUAAGACAAUGGUGCUCAGGGAGGUUGUUCAUUUUUGGUAGAAGAAGAAAGUGAGAUUGAGUGUUCAUGCUUAACUACGAGAGUAAUUGAGUGUUGAGGGAGGUAUUUUUUGCUUCUCUGUGGGUUCCGAUUUUAGUGUGGCUGGGGGGUUUCUUUGUCGGGUGUGGCUGUUUGUUUCCAAUGCAGGUUUUUGGGCCUUUCUCUUUGUUCUUCGGUGUUCUUGGCUUCUUUUCCGUCUCCCUGGGCUAGGUACGAGUGCCUUAGCUGCUUGCUUUUGAUCACUCUGGCUGAGUUUUGAUCGUUCUUGGUCAGGGGGCUCAUUUUUGCCCCCCUUGUGUCUUCCUUUCUUUCCCCUCUGCAUUUUCCUUUUCUCUUGUGCAGCCGCAAGCUGUCUCUGUUUGUUGUAAGUGACUUUGUGUUUGCUGGCCCCUCCGUUUCUUUAGGCCCAUGUUUUUAUAAUAUACAUCUCAUUUAUAAAAUAAAUAAAAAACUACGAGAUUAAUAAAUAGAUAUUUAUCCCAAAUCAAGAUCAACGUGAGAAAUUUUCUUCCCAACUGAUCAGCUUAUGAAUUCCGGCUUGAUGAUCAUACGCCAACAACCAGGGGCGGAGGGAGGAGUCCAAGUGGUGUCACUUGGCCCAAAAAUAAAAUUAGACACCAUUUAACUUUAUUUCUAACUACGCCACCGCCAACAACUCGAUAAGAACCCAUAUUUAAUCUCAAUGAGUUGUUUCCACCAACUCCAAGGAUAUUAGACUUUCCAAGAAUCUAAUUUCCUUCGAAAUUGGUUUAGGACCGGAUCUCAAAUUACUCUACAAGAUGAGUUGCAACUAAAUGAUAGAUCAAGGUAAUUCGUAAGAAACGAAACAAUGUCGCCGUCGAAAAUGGUAGCAAAAUUAAUGAGAUAGGUCAGGAAUAUGCCCAAUUGCAAAUAACCUGCUCAUGACACUGCCACAAUCUCUCCAUUAGGUAUAGAUCUACCGUACAUAGUAGAUUAUAUACAUAGCUUCAGUUCUUGAUCGAUAUUAGAUAAUUUGUUUGUUUGAGAUCUGCUGGGUUGGGUAACCUAUAGCUAGCUUAUCGGAUUUACCAACUUAGCUUAUGUAAUGAAUCUCAUGCGGUGUUGUAGCUAAGAUUGAUGCUCUGGGCUUCAACUUCAUCCCUAAGUGAUAAUAUAUAUGGAUGUGGUGUUAAUUUUUCAUAAUUUUUUCUUCUUUAAUUUCUCCAGGGCAAUUCUUUGGGUCUAAUUUGUAUCAAGAACUUGAUGGGCAGUGAAAAGGAUCCUUGGUUCGAUUAAGAAUCCAUAACUUUAUGGAUGAAGAAAACACCAAUAACCCUAACACUUCUACUUUUGAAUUAUUUAUUAACUAGCUUUAUUUUUAUAUAUCUUCACUAUAUUUUAUUAGUUUUGUGUUUUAUCUUUUGGCAUUUAGGUAUGUUGUAGUUGAUGAUGGUCACAAUCUCUUUACAUCUGGGUUUAGAACUACAAGGAGGAGCUAAAUGGCGAGUUAUAGUUUGAGAAACAAAUUCAUCUACAAUGGCGAGGUCAGUGAAUCAGAGGAAGCUAAAAAGAACGGGGUGCAUGUUCUCUCCGACGUUAGGAUGAACAAAUCGAGUAAGUGAUUUUUUAUUUUUAUGAUUUAUCUUUCUUUUUAGCUUAAGUAUAGGAAUAUUAAUUUUCUUUCUUACCAUCAAAAUACUAUAUUUGUUUUGGCCGCCUAAUUAUAAUUUUUUUUAUAAUUUGUAUAUGAUAUAUUUGUAUAGGGAUAAUAUUAUUGAUUUACUUUCUUAUCAUUCAAUUUAUUAUAUAUACUGGCAAAAACACCAUACCAAAAGGAAUUGGCGACUCAAAAGCCUUGUCACUAGUCAGGCUCUCUCGAGAAAAAACACACCCUCAGCCAAAGCUUUUCAUUGCUGAUUCGAAAUUGCACUAGCAGCUUUCAACCCUGAUUCCACCGGCCAGAAGCAACCCUAAACGCCACCUCUUUCUCUGAACUACAAGUGUCACGAAAAACUCUAAUGUUUCUCUCUAAAUACCACAAAUUUUUAGGGUUAAUUGCAAAUUUAGGGCACUGAUCUUAGGGUUAAUUAUUUUUUAUUUUGUUGUUUCUCCUUGUAGAUUGUUGCUUAUAUAGGUCUUAUUUUGACCUCUGCGAUGCCAAAGCAAGAUUGUAUGAUAUAUUUGUAUAGGGAUAAUAUUAUUGAUUUACUUUCUUAUCAUUCAAUUUAUUAUAUAUACUGGCAAAAACACCAUGCCAAAAGGAAAUGGCGACUCAAAAGCCCUGUCACUAAUCAAGCUCUCUCGAGAAAAAACACACCCUCAGCCAAAGCUUUUCACUGCUGAUUCGAAAUUGCACUAGCAGCUUCAACCCUGAUUCCACCGGCCAGAAGCAACCCUAAACGCCACCUCUUUCUCUGAACUACAAGUGUCACGAAAAACUCUAAUGUUUCUCUCUAAAUACCACAAAUUUUUAGGGUUAAUUGCAAAUUUAGGGCACUGAUCUUAGGGUUAAUUAUUUUUUAUUUUGUUGUUUCUCCUUGUAGAUUGUUGCUUAUAUAGGUCUUAUUUUGACCUCUGCGAUGCCAAAGCAAGAUUGAAGACUCUUCAAAAUCCAUUCAAAUAUAGAUUUUCACUCAAAUGGCUAUUGUUAUUCGAGAAGCAGUGGCUGAUUACCAACAACCUAGGGCAUGUGGAGGAUUGCCUACAUUAUUUGCAAUAAGGCCCUCCCAAUGCAUCCAACAGAUGGAGAACCAAAGUGGACAGUAAAAAAUUACGAAGAAGUGAGAAUGUCUGUCUACAACGAUAUUGUCUCCAAAAAUGCUGUCUUCGAACGAGUGAAGACGAGUUUGAGGGAAGAAGGCCCAGUUAUCGGUGCUGUGAAGAUACAUGUUGACUAUUUUGACAAGCACAAGCUGGUGUAUUAUCCUCACAGGCAAUCUCUCAGCAAGAUACAUGUUGACUAUUUUGACAAACACAAGCUGGUGUAUUAUCCUCACAGGCAAUCUCUCAGCAACUCCAACAAACAUCUAAUUGAGGACCCCAAGAAAGUAAGUGAUUUGGAGGAGACUCCUCCUCCUACUCCACCAAAGCCCUCCAACCCUCCUCUUCCUCCACAAAUUGUGCCCUCCAACCCUCUUCCUCCAUUUGAUCCCUCCAAACCUGUUGAGGAAAAAAGGGGGCUCCGCGAGAUGAUGAUCAGAUCACUGGUCACGCGGUAUGUAUUGUUGGUUACUGUUAUGUGGACAGGCGACUGUGUUUUUUAGUGCAGGACAACCAUGGUAGACUGUUCAAGGAUGGAGGAUUUCAUUUGAUUGGUGCCAUAUCAUUUAAAAGGUUUUUUUUUGUAGAUGUGGAAGUUGUUGAGGCAAAAGUGGAUUAGAGAGUAUUAUUGUCUGUUCUAGUAGUAAUUAAUCUUUUGGUUUAAUUCCAUGUUUUAUUGUUUUUCUAAAUUUUUCAUGGUGGAUGUUGAUCAAGAAUACAUUAUUUUGUUAGUUGUUGAUCUUUGUUCUAUUUUGACUAUUAUUGUGGCCAUUUUCUCACUCACUCAAGUAUCCAUGUAUCCAAAGACCAUGCUUAGGUAGAGGUUUCUAAUUGGACUGCAUUUUUCCUUCAUCCAGAACCUCAUUUUGAAAUGGUUUGCAUUAUGUUAGUCGUCUCAUCAUAUUCAAACUAUAUUGGGGAGGAAGACAUUGGAUACCAUUUUGUAGUACCUUGGCAUCUUGAAAUGUUAUUGUGUGGAUAUUUAACGAAAGAUAGUGGAAUGUCAAUUUAUACACAUCUUAAUAGGUUGCCAGCAGCAGUCACUAUAUUAUGCAUCUACGCAUAAUCAGUGACAAAAGUGUUAUAGCUGCACAUACUACGUACUCGGCUCUUUGUCGGAUGCCCUAAGGGGCAGCAUAACUGCAAUGUCUAGGGUUCAUUUUAUCUCCCCAGGGAUGCUCAAUCACAAUCCAGUCAACUUCCUUGCUUCAUCAUGCACGAUGUCAUUUUAUUGUGAUGCGGUGGAUAUGAAAUUGUCAUUGCUAACUCCAAAAGGCAUAUUUUUGGUUCAUGUAAUUUUCAUCAAUUUUUCAAAUAUUAAGUAUAAAUUUUGAAAUUAUGAUUUUGGGACUAUUAUAAUUCGUCCUAUUUUUCUAUUUCACAACCCGUACGUAUCGAUUUCUGUUUUCAUCGUAGAGUAGUGUAGUUGAUUAUAUUUGGUUAUUAAAGACCUAGAGAUACCGGGAUCGAAUCUAGCCACACCUUACCUAGCGACACCAAUUUUUCUAAACAUAAUAAUUGAUCGCAUUGUUUUUUAACUCCCUGCAUCUUCCAUCCACCUCCCAUCUGGACCCUUCAGCUUGCAGAUGGUGUUCUUAUUCUUUCGAAAAACAAUAGAGGCAUGGAAAAAUGCCAUGUUUUGAUCUCCAUCUUUGUCUCAUUGGAUACAUACCAUUUGCCUCCAGAAGCUGUCCUCAGCAUGUAAAAUAGCCUCGAGCUCUUUAAGAAGCUCUUUCUCUUCCUCAAUCUCCUCACCGCUUUGCACACCCAUAGAAAGAGGAAGAGUUUUAUUUUUCAUUUUAUUUUGAUCAAGUUGGGGAGUUAAUAUAUUUUUGUUCUUCUUUCUUCCUCUCUCGUCCAUUUGGGAAUGAGAAAAAGUAGUACGUACGAGGUGAUGGGAUGAACAAAAUUUCCUUUUAAUUGUUAAAAUGAUGAAGUUAGACAUCAACCCAUCAACAACAUGUAUCAUUCCUCCGUUGCUAACCAACCGAACUCUUAACUAAAAUACGAUUGAAAUCAUGCUAAUCUUGGAGAAUAUUUUAGGUUCAGAAUUUAGAGAAUUGUAGAAUCCAUGCUUUGGCACACCCAUGUGACGGCACCAUAAGCCAUCUCCUCCACCAUAUUUUAUGCACAGAAGCUAAAAAUCUUAUGCCAUACAUUUUGAUUUUGACUAAUAAAUUUUUUUGAUAAGCAAGUGAUUUUAUAGCUAUGGAACCAAAAGUUCCAAAGGAAUACAAAAAAGCUCAAGAAUUCAAAAAAUUGAUUUCAUUAUCUACACAGAUUCGGAUCCAAAAGGAUUGGUAAGUGCAGAUGAGCACGAGUUAAGGACAUCGAGAAGAAACAAUAGAAACAUCCCAAAAUGGCCACAAAAACAUUAUGGUGUCUAAACUCAAUCACUCUCACAAAUCAUCUACGUGAGCCGUCAUCUUUAUCUAAACACGUUGUCGUAAUCCAAGAGUUGAUUUUAUUUCCGAUUUUAUUUGACUAAUAAAAUUAGUGUUGCACACUUGGCGCACUAACUGAUCUCAGUCCCGGAUACCGAUGGCGGGAGACACUACAAUACCCCAUCCAAUGUAUCAAAUCCUCUAGUUAUUGUUUAGCAUCGCAUAUGUAAUAUUGUUAAAUUCAAAUUCUCCAAAACUGAAUAAGUGAACAUAUAAUAUUAUAUUAUCAUUAAUUUCUUAAUUGAACCCAUCAAUCACGAACCCACCAAAUCUAGAUCUGCAUGCAAAAUAAGGAGAUGAUUGCCGAUGCUGAUGAGCUUAAGCAGCAACACUCAAUCAUCUCAGCAGCUUCUUCUCCAUUUAAUAAUACCAUCGGCUUCUUCUGGAACUCGAAUGCUCAUGACGCUGCCACCAUCACUCCAUCAAGUAUAGAUCUACCGUAUAUAGUAGAUUAUAUAUAUAGCUUUAGUUCUUGAUCGAUAUUCGAUAAUUUAUUUGUUUGAGAUCUGCUGGGUUGGGUAACCUAUAGCUAGCUUAUCGGAUUUACCAACUUAGCUUAAGUAAUGAAUCUCAUGCGGUGUUGUAGUUAAGAUUGAUGCUCUGGGCUUCAACUUCAUCCCUAAGUGAUAAUAUAUAUGGAUGUGGAGUUAAUUUUUCAUAAUUUUUCUUCUUUAAUUUCUCCAGGGCAAUUCUUUGGGUCGAAUUUCUAUCAAGAACUCGAUGGGCAGUGAGGAGGAUCCUUGGUUCAAUUAAGAAUCCAUUACUUUAUGGAUGAAGAAAACACCAAUAACCCUAACACUUCUACUUUUGAAUUAUUGAUUAACUAGCUUUAUUUUUAUAUAUCUUCACUAUAUUUUAUUAGUUUUGUGUUUUAUCUUUUGGCAUUUAGGUAUGUUGUAGUUGAUGAUGGUCACAAUAUGCAUCGUAGUUGGUACUAUGUUGUCCCUUUGAUGUGAAAAGCCUAGUAUUAGCUGGUACUAUGUUGUCCCUUUGAUGUGAAAAGCCUACUAUUAGCUAGGGACGGAAUGAUGUCAUUUCUUUUGGUUAGAGGAAGAGAGAUUGAUGUCUUAGUAACACAUAUUGUAUUAUUAUAUAUUUUAAUAAUACUUAUAUUCACAUAGUAUAUAUUAUUUUCUUAUAUAUUGUAAUUAUUUUAUGAACAUUCUUGAUCAUUAAUGUAUUAAUUAUACCAUCAUGGUUUCAAUCACCAACUUCUCUAAUAUAUUUACUUACUGGUGACAUCAAUUACCAAUAUAAUUAAUCCUUAAAUUGUAUAGCUUUAAAUUCUAAACACUAAGCAAAAACCCACGGCCCUAAAUUAUAUUCUAACAUGCACUCCCUCAAACAUUUAAUGAUGGGAAAUAUUGCCCAGAUAUGUUCAUUAGUUGCUAGGCUAAGUUCAUUUUCCUUAAAGGAAGAAAGAGAGAUUAAGUGUUGAUGCUUAAGUACCACAUUAAUAAAUGGUUAGUUCUUUAAGAAUAGAAGUACUUUAGAUUAUAAUCUUUCUAUUUACAUCUGGGUUUAGAACUACAUGGAGGAGCUAAAUGGCGAGUUAUAGUUUGAAAAACAAAUUCAUCUACAAUGGCGAGGUCAGAGGAAGCUAAAAAGAACGGGGUGCAUGUUCUCUCCGACGUCAGGACGAACAAAUCGAGUAAGUGAUUUUUUAUUUUUAUGAUUUAUCUAUCUUUUUAGCUUAAGUAUAGGGAUAUUAAUUUUCUUUCUUACCAUCAAAAUGCUAUAUUUGUUUUGGCCGCCUAAUUAUAAUUUUUUUUAUAAUUUGUAUAUGAUAUAUUUGUAUAGGGAUAAUAUUAUUGAUUUACUUUCUUAUCAUUCAAUUUAUUAUAUAUACUGGCAAAAACACCAUACCAAAAGGAAUUGGCGACUCAAAAGCCUUGUCACUAGUCAGGCUCUCUCGAGAAAAAACACACCCUCAGCCAAAGCUUUUCAUUGCUGAUUCGAAAUUGCACUAGCAGCUUUCACCCCUGAUCCCCCCGGCCAGAAGCAACCCUAAACGCCACCUCUUUCUCUGAACUACAAGUGUCACGAAAAACUCUAAUGUUUCUCUCUAAAUACCACAAAUUUUUAGGGUUAAUUGCAAAUUUAGGGCACUGAUCUUAGGGUUAAUUAUUUUUUAUUUUGUUGUUUCUCCUUGUAGAUUGUUGCUUAUAUAGGUCUUAUUUUGACCUCUGCGAUGCCAAAGCAAGAUUGAAGACUCUUCCAAAUCCAUUCAAAUAUAGAUUUUCACUCAAAUGGCUAUUGUUAUUCGAGAAGCAGUGGCUGAUUAGCAACAACCUAGGGCAUGUGGAGGAUUGCCUACAUUAUUUGCAAUAAGGCCCUCCCAAUGCAUCCAACAGAUGGAGAACCAAAGUGGACAGUAAAAAAUUACGAAGAAGUGAGAAUGUCUGUCUACAACGAUACUGUCUCCAAAAAUGCUGUCUUCGAACGAGUGAAGACGAGUUUGAGGGAAGAUGGCCCAGUUAUCGGUGUUGUGAAGAUACACGUUGAUUAUUUUGAUAAAAACAAGCUGGUGUAUUAUCCUCACAGGCAAUCUCUCAGCAACUCCAACAAACAUCUAAUUGAGUACCCCAAGAAAGUAAGUGAUUUGGAGGAGACUCCUUCUCCUCCUACUCCACCAGAGCCAUCCAACCCUCCUCUUGCUCCACAAACGGUGCCCUCCAAGCCUCCUCCUCCAUCCGAUCCCUCCAAAGCUGUUGCGGAUAAAAGGGGGCUCAGCGAGAUGAUGAUCGGAUCACUGGUCAUGCGGUAUGUAUUGUUGGUUACUGCUAUGUGGACAGGCGACUGUGUUUUUUAUUGCAGGACAACCCUGGGAGACUGUUCAAGGAUGGGGGAUUUCAUUUGAUUGGUGCCAUAUCAUUUAAAAGGUUUUUUUUUAGAUGUGGAAGUUGUUGAGGCAAAAGUGGAUUAGAGAGUAUUAUUGUCUAUUCUAGUAGUAAUUAGCCUUUUGGUUUAAUUCCAUGUUUUAUUGUUUUUCAUAACUUCUAAACUUAUCAUGGUGGAUGUUGAUCAAGAAUACAUUAUUUUGUUAGUUGUUGAUGUUUAUUGUAUUUUGACUAUUACUGUGGCCAUUUUCUCACUCAGUCAAGUAUCCAUGUAUCCAAAGACCAUGCUUAGGUUGAGGUUUCUGGUGUGACAGCAUUUUUCCUUCAUCCAGAACCUCAUUUUGAAAUGGUUUGCAUUAUGUUAGUCGUCUCAUCAUAUUCAAACUAUAUUGGGGAGGAAGACAUUGGGUACCACUUUACAGUACAUUGGCAUCUUGAAAUGUUAUUGUGUGGAUAUUUAACGAAAGAUAGUGGAAUGUCAAUUUAUACACAUCUUAAUAGGUUGCCAGCAGCAGUCACUAUGUUAUGCAUCUACGCAUAAUCAGUGACAAAAGUGUUAUGGCUGCACAUACUACGUAUUCGGCUCUUUGUCGGACGCCCUAAGGGGCAGCAUAACUGCAAUUUCCAGGGUUCAUUUUAUCUCCCUAGGGAUGCUCAAUCACAAUCCAGUCAACUUCCUUGCUUCAUCCUGCACGAUGACAUUUUAUUGUGAUGCAGUGGAUAUGAAAUUGUCAUUGCUAACUCCAAUAGACAUAUUUUUUGUUCAUGUAAUUUUCAUCAAUUUUUCAAAUAUUAAGUAUCAAUUUCGAAAUUAUGAUUUUGGGACUAUUUUAAUUCGUCCUAUAUUUCUAUUUCACAACCCGUACGUAUCAAUUUUUGUUUUCAUCGUAGAGUAGCGUAGUUGAUUGUAUUUGGUUAUUAAAGACCUAGAGAUACCGGGAUCGAAUCUAGACACACCUUACCUAGCGACACCAAUUUUUCUAAAUAUAAUAAUUGAUCGCUUUAUUUUUUAACUCCCCUACAUCUUCCAUCCACCUCCCAUCUGGACCCUUCAGCUUGCAGAUGGUGUUCUUAUUCUUCCGGAAAACAGUAGAUGUAUGGAAAAACGCCAUGUUUCGAUCUCCAUCUUUGUCCCAUUGGAUACAUACCCUUUGCCUCCAGAAGUUGUUCUCAGCAUGCAAAAUAGCCUCUAGUUCUUUAAGAAGCUCUUUCUCUUCCUCAAUCUCCCCACCGCUUUGCACCCCCAUAGAGAGAGGAAGAUUUUUAUUUUUCAUUUCAUUUUGAUCAAGUUGUGGAGUUAAUAUAUUUUUCUUCUUCUUUCUUCCUCUCUCGUCCAUAUGGGAAUGAGAAAAAGUAGUAUGUAUGAGGUGAUGGGAUGAACAAAAUUUCCUUUUAAUUGUUAAAAUGAUGAAGUUAGACAUCAACCCAUCAACAACAUGUAUCAUUCCUCCGUUGCUAACCAACCGAACUCUUAACUAAAAUACGAUUGAAAUCAUGCUAAUCUUGGAGAAUAUUUUAGGUUCAGAAUUUAGAGACUUGGAGAAUUGUAGAAUCCAUGCUUUGGCACACCCAUGUGACGGCACCAUAAGGCAUCUCCUCCACCAUAUCAUAUGCACAGAAGCUAAAAAUCUUACGCCAUAAAUUUUGACUAAUAAUUUUUUUUUAUAAGUAAGUGAUUUUAUUGCUAUGGAACCAAAAGUUCCAAAGGAAUACAAAAAAGCUCAAGAAUCCAAAAAAAUGAUUUCAUUAUCUACACAGAUUCGGAUCCAAAAGGAUUGGUAAGUGCAGAUGAGCACGAGUUAAGGACAUCGAGAAGAAACAAUAGAAACAUCCCAAAAUGGCCACAAAAACAUUAUGGUGUCUAAACUCAAUCACUCUCACAAAUCAUCUACGUGAGCCGUCAUCUUUAUCUAAACACGUUGUCGUAAUCCAAGAGUUGAUUUUAUUUCCGAUUUUAUUUGACUAAUAAAAUUAGUGUUGCACACUUGGCGCACUAACUGAUCUCAGUCCCGGAUACCGAUGGCGGGAGACACUACAAUACCCCAUCCAAUGUAUCAAAUCCUCUAGUUAUUGUUUAGCAUCGCAUAUGUAAUAUUGUUAAAGUCAAAUUCUCCAAAACUGAACAAGUGAACAUAUAAUAUUAUAUUAUCAUUAAUUUCUUAAUUGAACCCAUCAAUCACGAACCCACCAAAUCUAGAUCUGCAUGCAAAAUAAGGAGAUGAUUGCCGAUGCUGAUGAGCUUAAGCAGCAACACUCAAUCAUCUCAGCAGCUUCUUCUCCAUUUAAUAAUACCAUCGGCUUCUUCUGGAACUCGAAUGCUCAUGACGCUGCCACCAUCACUCCAUCAAGUAUAGAUCUACCGUAUAUAGUAGAUUAUAUAUAUAGCUUUAGUUCUUGAUCGAUAUUCGAUAAUUUAUUUGUUUGAGAUCUGCUGGGUUGGGUAACCUAUAGCUAGCUUAUCGGAUUUACCAACUUAGCUUAAGUAAUGAAUCUCAUGCGGUGUUGUAGUUAAGAUUGAUGCUCUGGGCUUCAACUUCAUCCCUAAGUGAUAAUAUAUAUGGAUGUGGAGUUAAUUUUUCAUAAUUUUUCUUCUUUAAUUUCUCCAGGGCAAUUCUUUGGGUCGAAUUUCUAUCAAGAACUCGAUGGGCAGUGAGGAGGAUCCUUGGUUCAAUUAAGAAUCCAUUACUUUAUGGAUGAAGAAAACACCAAUAACCCUAACACUUCUACUUUUGAAUUAUUUAUUAACUAGCUUUAUUUUUAUAUAUCUUCACUAUAUUUUAUUAGUUUUGUGUUUUAUCUUUUGGCAUUUAGGUAUGUUGUAGUUGAUGAUGGUCACAAUAUGCAUCGUAGUUGGUACUAUGUUGUCCCUUUGAUGUGAAAAGCCUAGUAUUAGCCUAGUAUUUUGUUUUUCAUAGAACUGGAGAUGGUUUGAAUUUGUGAUGCAAUCGCAAAUCAGUGUCGACUAAUCGUCAAACUGACUUAAUUGUUUUCUUUCUUGCAGAUACAUGUUUCUACCGGUCAUUGUGUUCUACAUGCGAUGCACAGGGGAGGCUGCUCACUCGUUCUGAACCGUUUGAGGAUCGGUUUUCGGUCAAAGGGAUCCUUCGACUAGAGAGAAAAUGGCUGUCUAUCAAGCUUCCACAUCCAAGAAAAGUGCAUCACUGCUUGGGGUAUUUUUCUGGCAAAGGUGGUCCUAAUCUGCCAAUGCAGCCAGAAAAUGGAGUCCAGAAGUUCAAAAUUUCAGACUUCCAAGUGUUUCCAAAUGAAGGGACUCUCGUCAUCCCUUACGUGAAGAGGGUUGUGCAAAAUUUCAGUCCAAUCAUUGGAAGUCUAAAGUUGCGUUUCGACUAUUUCAGUGGAGUUGAUGAGGUGUAUUUGGGUGAGGAGGAGAAGAUAACAAUGGAGACUUUACAUGCAGUGCAAAGGCCGCCAUACGUCAAGUCUCCGGUGACAAGGACCCCCACCCCGCCUCCAUUGACACCUUCCCCGCCCAAGAAAGGAGAAAAAGGCACACAACCAUAGACGGAUGAGGAGGUGAAAGAGGAGGAGAAAAAGAAAAAGGAGAAGGAGGAGGAGGAGAAGAAGGCGGAAGAAAUAUCAGAUCAGCGAAUACGCGUCACUGCACACGUUGUCUGCAUCGUAGGGUUCCGCAUUGCAAAUGAUAAGUAUGGAAUCCCUCAUGAUUGUUUUAUUGUGCAGGACAGUUACGGUUCGAAGUUCAGGGAUGGUGGGUUUAGUGUGAUUCCUAUCAACAUGUUUGAUAAAUUUUUUAUCGCCAAACUUGUGAAGAAAUGACUCGGUUCGGAGGAACCGGCCGGUUUGGGGUGUCUAUGGGGUUUAUGUUUUUGUUGUUAUGCUUAUGCUUGUCUAGACUAUUGUACUGUUUCCAUUCAGAAAUAAAUUGAAAUAGUUGGCAUUCCAGUUUAGCCGACAUGAUCACUGUGUCAAGACAGGUUCCACCAUGCAUAUUGUCCAUAUUCCAAUUUUCAUGCUUCAGCAUUACAAGCAACUAACUACUCUGAAUCAUUUGAUCUCGACUGUAGUUCGCUUUCUCCGGGUUUCAGUUUUUAUUCAAAAGUAAGGCCACGAUGGCAUUAGGAGUAGACCCUCUUUGGAGGUAUAGAAACGUGGUGUGUAUGUGAUGAGUUAGUUAAUUCCAUUGGCUACGAUUUAAUUCAUUAAUAAAAAAGGAACUAAGGCCAUGGUAACCGGGGAAAGAAACAUGGGAACCUCACAAAAAGAAAACACUUAACUGCCUUCAGACUAUUGUUGAACUCGAAAAUCAAAGGGGCGUAGAACUUGACAACGUUCAAGUCGUGAUUGCUGACAGUUUCUGUAAGAUUUGAGUGGUCGGGUGUGGGCACGAUCUCCUUAGACGCAGCCUCUUCAGAAUCCGAACCAGAGGCAGCCAUAAAAAUGCCUUUUCUUGCUGAACAAGAUUGUCAAGCGGGCGAGGGAUAGGGCGGUUGAGGUCAAUAUGGAGAUCUACACUGAUAAUAACAAAACAGAACAAAUCUAAUGUAAUAGAAAUGGAUGUGGAAGCUUGAUAGACAGCCAUUUUCUCUCUAGUCGAAGGAUCCCUUUGACCGAAAACCGAUCCUCAAACGGUUCAGAACGAGUGAGCAGCCUCGCCUGUGCAUCGCAUGUAGAACACAAUGACCGGUAGAAACAUGUAUCUGCAAGAAAAAAAAACAAUUAAGUCAAUUUGACGAUUAGUCGACACUGAUUUGCGAUUACAUCACAAAUUCAAACCAUCUCCAGUUCUAUGAAAAACAAAAUAGUAUUAUUAGUACAGUAGCUACUUGUCACUUUAGCUCAGAAACACAAGUAUUAUUAGUACAGUAGUGAGCAUGUUUUUAGGAAGCCGGUAGUAAAGCCUAACAAAACACAUAAUCAGACUAAAUGUUAAAUCAUACAAAAAUAUUGAAUGGAAACAUGGCAAUAAGCACAAUACGUAAAGCACAUCAGAUUCCUUGUUUUAUAAUAAUUAAUAACCAUAAAAAAAUUACUUUGUGAGAUGUAGAACUAGGCGAUCUCACAUUGAAUCAACGAUUUGACUAUUAUUUGAAUGCUUAUGUAUACAAUGCAGGUAUUAUUACUGUUGUUAUUAUUAUUAUUAUUAUAGUAUACACCUUGGCAAGUACAGCUGUUGACACCUGGCCACCGGAGUACAUUGAAAGAGGAUAAUGGAAAGUCUAAUAUCCUUGGAGUUGGUGGAGACAACUCAUUGAGAUUAAAUAUGGGUUAUUAUUGAGUUGUUGGCGGUGGCGUAAUUAGAAAUAAAGUUAAAUGGUGUCUAUAUAUGAUGAAAAAAAUAAAAAAUCAAACAUUUCACUUUUUAUAAUACCCGUGGUGAGUUUUCAUAUUUUUUCAAUGUUAAAAUUAGAAUUUAAUAAUGUUAAAUAAGGUGUUAAGUUUAUAUUUUUUAAAUUUUAUAUAUUUAAAUUAAAAUAGUAUAACUCAAAAGUGUAUUGUAACAGAGUGUUAAUGGCUUCAAAUGAAUUCAAGUGGUGUACAUCAAAACGCAUUUCAUUAAGAACUAUUUUAAUUGCUUGCAACAUUGCGAAAUGGUACCACUGCCAUGGGCAGCAACAUCUGCCCCAAGUAUGAGAGGUCCAUUUUUUAGUAGAAACCAAACCAUACUGACUAACCGGGCAAAAAGAAAACACUUAACGGCCUCAUUUGUGCCAAAGUACACCAGUUAAGUUUAAUUGGUUACAUUAACUCAGGAUACAAAAUGGUAGAACCCGCAUAGGAAUAGUGAUCAUCAUCAUCCGAAGAAUAAUCAAGAUCGUACUCAAAAUCAAUGUAGUGGUCUUCGUCAUACUGACCAAGCACAUAGCUUCCAGCAGGAUGGAGGAUGGGGAUACUAUAUCUUUCCGAGCACAUUGAACAACGAUCGGAAAUGUCUGCAACCAUCAAGGAUCCGUAAGCUAUUAGACUCAACUUCAUGUAUCCAUUCAUUAGACACAUAGACUACUAAUUACUAAUCAGAAGGAUAAAGGAUGAGGAUCGGUUUUCACUUACUCGUUUCAUCAGCAGGGUUAAAAGUCACACAUGCCCUAAUACUCCAUUGGUCAAACGGCUAAUUAUAAGUUAACUCCGAAAAGAAAUAUUCAAUAUUGUUGGAGCCAUCAUUUUUCGUCGCAGUAAAGUUGACAUGUAUGACAUGUUUAGACAUACGAUAAAUGCCAUUGCUGUUCAAGGGACGAACAAGCGUGUAAGAGACACCCUGAGAUCAAACCCAGAUUAAGAAAUCAGAAUCAGAUCAGCCAGGUGAGUGAAAAGAGACAGUUGAUACUUGGAAGAAAACAAAACUACCGUCUUUCGCUGGUAGCCUCCCAAACUAAUCUCAGCAGCUGUUUUGAUUAAUGCUCACUAAGAAAUUGUUUAUGAGUGGCAUCAUCCAACUGAUGGGUGGCUUCAUUCGGGAUAGGACUUCCAGAACUGCAGAUUCAAAUGAUAAUUAAGAAGCAUAAGCAGGACAUUCCAUAAUCAUUAACCGGAAAUAUCAGGGAAACUAACGAUGAUUCAAAGGGAUCAACGAAUAAGAAAGGUUAAAAAUACUCGCAAUACAUGACGUCUUCAAACAGAGAGUCGAAAUGAAACACACAGUACAGUCCUAAACAUAUAGCAAUCCGAUAUGAAGAGACCCCCCCCCCCCUCCCCCACACGAACAACAACACAAUUCCUUCAGGAUGAAAACAACCAUUGAUUCGAUAGAUUGGGAAAACAGAAACGAAACCCUAAUUCGAAGGAAAAGUAAGAACAACAAGACCUCUUCAGCUUCUGUCUCUUGUCAUCAUGCACCAACUCUCGAUCGACCAUCUUCUGUGGUUCUCCCAUCUUCAAUCGAUCCCUCGUGUCGAUCUCGUCAAACCCCUUUUCGUCUUCUGGUUUUUUCUUUUUGGUUUCUCGUCUUGUGUUUCAGCAGAAAAGGCAAGGAGAGGAGAGGGGAGAAAUAGGCAUAAUAAAAUAUUAGCAAUCCCGGCACUUAGGUACAAGCCUAAGCCUACCUUCUUCUUUAGCGGGCUGUAUUUCUUGGGCCCACGCUUCUCUGGCUUUUCUAAUGAAUUAGCCCAAUUUUUCAUUUUAAAAACUAAGAUAUCACACUACCCACGCGCCUCAGACCCAGGAGGUGGGAGUGGCCUGGUGGUGUGCGAUGGGCCUGGUGGUGCACAGUGUAGGGUGUGGCCAUGUGGUGUUGCACUGUAUUGGACGGAUUUUUCUAUCUCCUUAAUUGCUAACUAGAUGUACAUUGGCCGAAAUUUGAAUGGACUCACCGUCUGUUUUAAAAAAUUAAAAUAUAAAUAUAGUUACAUUUUAAUUAAUUUGUUUUUAAACAGAAAUCUAAAAAAUAAAUAACCAUCACAUUAUCGCGUCAUCAUCACAUUAGCUAGUCUUUCGGAAUCUUGAUGUGAUUUUAUAAAUUUAAUCAUGUGCAAUUUGAAUGAUGAUGUUAACUGUUAUUAGGGUUAUUCGCGCAAACCAGAUCAGAUGAAACAAAGUAAAAGUGAUAGAGUACUUUUAGGGUGUAUGUAGAUACAAAAAUUAUUACAUACGUGUAUGGGUAAGAUGUGGAUAGUAAAGUAUCAUCUAUUAACCGUAAUAUAACUUUAAACAUUAUAUAACUCUUACGGUGAAGACUUCGUCCCGACUUAUUGAAUACUCCCACUUUUAGAAUUUGAUCUCAGCCGUUCAUUAUGAAAUUAAAUCUCAAAUAUUGAUUUUAUUUAAUUUUCUAAUCUAAUUUAUUUCUUAAAACAAAUUAAUUAAUGACCAAUUGACUUAAUUCCAAUUAAUAUGCGGUCAUUUUUUAUUUUUACAAUUUGAUGUUCCGUCUUAUUUUUUUCGCAUGUGAACAUCUUAAUAUCAACAUUGCACUUUAAAUCACUUUAAAUUUGUGAAUUAAAUUUAUAAAUGGAUGAACCUAACAUCAUCCAUCAAUAUUUGAACUCUUCUUCACCGGUAGACUUCUCAUUCUUCACCAAUAGAAACCCUAUCUUUCCAUAUCUAUUUAUAGUUUCUACAUCUCGACCUCAAAGUCUUCGAUUUAACUAAGGUUUUAGUGCUUACUCUAUACUCGCAGCUCUUCUCUUCUCCAACCUCAAAAAGACCCCGUCGCCGCUUUGUUACUCCGUCCAGCAAUCAUGGGGUAUGUUUCAUUGAUCUAGCAAUCUGAGUUCUUUCUUACACUGGAUUGUAGCCUUGUAAGAAGCAAAAUAACCAGCGGAACAAAAAUUUAUCGGAAUUUAGAUUCAGCAUACCCUUCAAAUAGCACAUUCAUCGUCAUAUGCUCGUAGCUUAUCAGAUGUUGCAUGGGGAAGUGCUGCAUGAAGAGCACCUAAAGCCAUUCUCAGUUUAAUAAACCCCUUUACACGCUUUAUAAUGGCACUUAGCAAGGCCUGCAAAAUAUAAUCGAACUUAUAUUUUUACCUUUUCUCAGAAGAACCAUGAUUCAAACAUCUUCAAGAUAAGCACUUAUCCACAUUCCAGACAAAACAAGAAGGGAAGCGUGGAUGUUGAUUCAUAAUGAGAAAGAGAGAUCACUGGUAAAAUUGACUGAGUAGCAUCAAGCUUACCUUGUAAAUAACAUAAUGGACAAGGCGCUCUACAAGUGUCCUAGUUUCAGAAGGAUACAAGUCCACAAAGAAUAUACUCAGCAAUGCAAAACAAGUACUGUAACCAUAAAUUUCAAUCAUGGAGGUGAAAGGAAAGACCUUCUGACGCAGUAGGAACACAAGAAGAAAAGCUCUAGAUUUCUUCUCUGGAAUCCACCAGAAAGUGAUUGAGAGUUGUGGCUGGCCGUGGCAGGGGUGCUGCAGCAGUUGCAGGCAUGAAGUGCCAAUUAUUUUAUUAUUAAUUAGUGACAAAAGCUAAAAAAACAUUUAUAUUUACUUAAAAAAAGAAACAUGGGGAUGAGUAAAGUAGUACGAGGUGAUGGGUUGAUCAAAAUUUUUAUUUCCCUUGAUACAAAUCAUCCUCUGGGUAAUGUGAUGAAGUAGCUAGGCAUCAACCCAUCAACAUACAUAUAUACCAAGCUACUAGCCGGAUUGAAAAUAAUGUAGUUUGUACUUUAUACAAAAUGUUAAAACUAGUAUAUUGUGUGAAAUCUUCAUUGAUGACCUUUUUUAUCAUAAAUUCUUCAUUUCAUCAUAAAAAGGUUAUACCAGCGAUUCUUAUGGCUACAAUCCAACAAGAACAAUAUUGGAAAACCAGUCUUGAUGCUAAGUGUGAGCUUUUGAAGAGGUUGCCACCCAGUCAGCUAGUUAAUUUGUUGUGCUUUGUAGGGGUGAACACAAACACGAUUUUUAUCACGCCAAUACUUAGGUGGAAGAUCGAACUGAGUUCAACAUAACAAUCCUACAACCAAGGAAGAGAACAGUUGUUGAUGUGUUGACGAUUGUAAUGUUGUCCGAAAAAAUAGUUGAAGGUAACAAAACGUGCAAGCUUGAGAGUUGUGAUUACACAGCAUCUCUUACAACCAUUGUUAUCAGAACAGGACCCAACUGAUCGAUCAGACCAGUUCGACCAUGAACCGAUAAGUUAGUUGGUAUUUGGCGGUUUGGGCAAUUGAUCAAAUUUGGGCAUUAAUCCAGUUGGACUUCGGUUGGACCUUCCAUUACUUACAAAAUCUCCUGUUCAUUGUCCAAAAAUAAUAACCACAUUCCAAUAUCCCAUACAAACUGAUCCAAACAGAGAACAUACACACAAAUACACACAUCAAUCAUCUCUUCAAGCACGUGUCAUUAUUGAAUAUUCAAUAAAUUAUUCAACAAUGAAUAAACAGAGCAGGAGGAGGAAGCUACCCGUUGGAAUCCGAAUUUGUGACGGAGGAGCUGGCAGAGAGGAGGAACUGCCGGCUGAGUACUGCAAAGAGACGCCGGCUGGUCAAGAGGCCAGAGGAGACGCCGGUCGAGAGGUCAGAGAAGACACCGGCCGAUCUGCGGCUACUUAACAUUAAAAAGUGACAUCUUAUUAUAAAUUAAAUAAAGUAUACAUUAAAUCUCAAUAAUUUUAUCAAUAAAAACCUUCAAAUCAUUUAUAUAUAUUUUGAAACUUCUUAAAAAAUGAUUUAAUAACUAUAUUUUUGACAAAUUAGAUUAUGACAUUGAACUCUAUAUAUUGCCGGUUUGAUCCGGUUCAAUUUAAAAGUUGUCCGGUCCGACUCAACUUUCUUCAUUUAUUUAUUUAAUAAUUAAAACGAUCCAAUCCGAUUUAAAAAACGGUCGAACCCCGGUCGAACCAUCAAACCUUAACCCGUAACCUCACCAAUUUUGAAAACAUUGGUUACAACUAAUUAAGGACUAAAGAACACAUAAGCCACUUGUCCUUGUGUCACAUCAUAAUGAUAAAAGCCAUGGAAUGAAUGUUCGUAUGCAUGCUCUUUCAAUCGAUCGGAUUGGUGACCUUGGCAAUAUAUAUUACGCAUGCAUGGAUUAGUUGUAUUAAAGAGUUUCUCUUGCCAGCUGAUUUUAUUUCCUUUUCGUUUGUCCCUACAAGGCAAAAUAAAGAACCAUGGACACUAAGUUGCGAAAUGCUUAAUUGCGUAUGUAAACUCCGCCUAUCUUUGUACUAAUAAUGCCUUUGCUUGAUUUUGAUGAAUGAAAGAUCCAUUUCUUUUUCAAGAAAUUAAGUUGACUAAUUAUAGUAGUCGGACAGGCAACUCCAUCACACUUUCUCCUGUUUUAAUUUGCGACUUCCGGAGACUGUUUCCGAUUGUGGGAGUCGGAGUUUUUAUUGUAAAACAAAUUCUGGCCGCCAAAUUACUAUCACCUUGCCGCCCGCCGCCCUAUAUUUCUACAGAUUUUUCCCACUAAACUUUCAUAGUAGUUUCUUUACGUACGCACUACUCUCUUUUUUAUCUUCUUUGUACUCUCUUCAUGAAUUAGAAUUUGAGUUGAGUGAGAUCAUUAUUCUAAUCGAGUUUUUAUAUUAUGAAAAUACUGUAUAAUAUAUUUUUUGUUUACAAACAACACGUUUUUAAUAUACCAUUUUUUAUAUUCGGUAUUGUAACUUCUAUUUAGACCUUGCUUCAUUAUUAGUUAUAAAGAAUAUGGUUGAGUGGAGAAACCAAGAUCAAACAUUCAUUGAGAUAAUUUUGAAUUAAACAUCUGUGUAUCGAGGAAUAAAUUAACCAAUAUAGUGUUUCAAACAUAAUAUUGUUAAAAAAUAUAUAUAAAUAUUCUUUUUCAGUUAAAGGAAAAUUAAAUGUAUCACCGACAAUUUUUUUAUAUCUAGAUUGCUUAAACUAAAUUUAUGAUCAUUACUUAGUAAAUAGGUAGUUUUAUUAGAAUAUUAUAUCACAAAUUUAAGGUAGAUAAACGAAUGAUAUGAAUUCGAAAUAAAUUCAAAUGGGGUCCUAGGUUUGAAUCUAGUCAUUUGCACAAAAUUAUCCAUUAUUUUUAUUUCACAAUGUAUUGUCCGAGUGGUGUUAUGUGCAUCCACUUGGGCUCCAUGCUCCGCCCCUGACUCUAAUCAUACACUAGCUAUACACACAGCCAUGUACAUGAGUACAUUACAAUUGUGCAAGGUACAUGUAUAUGAGUACACAAUGGUACACAUAUGACAUAUACAUAUGCAAGUAACUCCGACCCCUUUUAAUGUGUUGUGUGCCUGUGUUCAUUAUCUAGAUAGUAACAAAAGCUAUAGCUCACUUGCUCGAAUUACGAUUGUUUCUAAUAAAAAAUUUUGAUUUAAAUACGUCGAAAAUAUACUACAUUUAUUAUUAAUCUUUGUAUUUUCAUCGAAUACCACUAAUUUGAAAUUAGUGUUAACCGUAUGCCACACUACCCAAAACUUGACCGGAAAAUGACGUGGACAUAUCAGAGUGUCUUUCUUUUUCUCUAAUUUUUUUCAAUUUUUUUGUUACGAAACUACACCAUUUAAGUCAUUCGUUUGACUUAUUUUGAGUCGUUGGAUAAAAAGUUGAUCCAAAACUAGCCUGAUCCAAUGAUCAUGAUUUAUCGAAAUAAUCUCGAAACCGGCUCCGGUUAGUGAUGAGGCUAACUCCGAUCUGUCCACAUUAUAUUUCUGGUCAAGUUUUGAGCAGAGUGAUAUAUAGUUAACACUAACUCAAGAUUAGUGGCAUCUGAUGCUGUAUAAAAGAAGAUUAGUUGUAAGUUCUAAAUAGUAUAAAUUAUUCGGUUCAAGUCUGAAAGUUUCUCUAUCUCAUGGUAUAUAGAAUAUAGAAUAGUGAAAUUGAUUAUUUUGAUCUUAAAAUUUUACAAUUUUAUGAUUUUAUUAGUUUAUGAUGAUUUUGAUUUCAAUACUCAAAAUUUUUUGUUAGUAGAAUCAGGUAAAAUCUCGAUUAACAUUUUAGAAUCUUGUAAAAUCAACGAUCUUUCACGUAUUUUACGAUUUCACUUUCUAAGUAAGAAUUAUUGAUUUAUCAUUUUGUCUCACUCGGUUUGGAUAAGAAUAAAAAAAUGUUAUUAGUAAUUUAUUUAUUUUAUUGAUAGAUUUUGAUUAUUUAAACAAUGUCCUAGAUUACAUAGAGACUGAAUCAUCCUUAUCGUAAAAAAGACAAAGAAUUUACUAAUUUCAUUAAAUUGAACUAUUUUCAGUAUGUGUUUAGUUGAUCGACUUGUCCGAAAAAUCUCGGCCAAUCCAAUCUAAGUAAAAAUUCAAAAAUGUCCGACGAAUCAAUCAACCGAAUGGACAGACCGAACCGAAGGGAUUUCCAUCCUGCGAGACAAAAAGACGGACGUGAUUUCUAUCUAGCCCAACUCGCUAGACAGACUCACUGUCCGUCCGGCCGAUCAUACCAGACGGACGGUGUGUCCGUUGGGUGAGGUGGGCCAUACGGAAAUCCCAUCUUUCUGGUUAUUAUUGCCGAAAUUUGACCUCGACAUUAACAUCAAUGUUGUAGCUAAUCGAACUAGCUUUCAAACAUAAACCAUUUUUGUAUCAAUCAGACUUCUGAGCGAUGAGUUAUGUCAAAAAUACUAAACUACGACGUUUUCCGACCUGGCCGGCGAGUUGGGCCAGACGGAAUUUGGCCUCAAGAUGAACAUAAAAGUUGUAGCCAAUCGAACUAACUUUUCAACACCGUCGGUCUUGUAUCAAUCGAAAUUUCAAUCAAUGAGUUAUGUCAAAAUUACUAAACAGCAACGUUUUCCGACCAAAUCGACCGUCUGAGUUGUUCCAGCCUCCCCGUUAUGGUUUAGUUCAUCUCAAGACAUCAUAUGGCACCUGAAAUGCACCAAAAAUAUGGGAAAAAAUGUAACGCCCCAAGGGGAUAAGGGGAACCAAAUAUGCAUAAAACGUCACAAAUUCGAUAAAGUGACUCAAUACUUGGAAAUGAGAUGGUUCUAUUCAAACUACCUAACGGGUCGUGAUGGAUACACAAGACAACGGAUGCGAUGAUGCAUCUCCACUAGACAUUACUAGGAAUCCAAAGCACGAUCAUGCCCAUGCACUACCAUUACUAAUUCACUUAAAAUCAAAUUACCUAGAAAUGAACAUAAACAGCUUGCUGGAGUGUUCGAUGAAAUGCUCUUACGGCAAUUCUAUUUUAGUAACUAGUGUUGAGAGUGGCUUUAGGUCGUGCAGUUAACAGACCUGAUCCUAAGACCCGAAACUUAUCGUUAUCCAUGUUCCUAUUUAUUCUGCAGCUGAACAGUUUCUCAUAGUCCUUAGGAUGAUCAAAAACCCGAACAAGGCCUUUCCCCACAGUCGUUCUAAUUUUAAUUUGAUCUGUAGCCGCCGAGUGAUAUAUUUGCAUUCCUGGUUUCCUGUUUCCCUUAGUAGUUGUUUUGUUUUCAUUUUAUAGUUUAGGAUAAAACUGUCUCCAAAUUAUGAUCGACUAACCAUCAAAUCAAAGCUGAGUAGUGAAGGCCAAGUGACCCGGGAGAAUUUGACUCUGAAUUAUCUCAGGAUCAUUUGAUUGUUUGGGCUUGAAAACCCUGACAUCAAAUUGGCGCCGUUGUCGGGAACAUACUUGACUUCACAAAAGGUGUAGGAUUACUCGCUUAGUCUUUGUUUUCAUAUUUGUACAUAUUUGAUUUCUUAGUUGGUUUUUGUUUCUAUUUGUGCAAUUUGUUUUUUUUUCUGUUUCACCCCACUGUAUUUGUUGUUUUGGAUAGUUCAGGUUUGUUUGCAAGACAAAGUAUGGAUAACCAUGCACAAAUGCAGUUUGACUCCCCCAAUCAAGCCUUCCCAUCGGUUCAUUAUGGUUAUGUUGAUUCACUAAUAGGAGUUCAAAUAAUCAGGACUAUUCAAAUUGGCAAGACCAAUAUGGAUUUCAUGGUGAUUCUCACUUUCAUGACUCCAUGAAUCAGAAUUUUGGUCCCUCCACUUCCAAUGAAGAUAUUGUUAAGCUAAUCCAAGAUAUUAAAGCUCGUUACCGUGCCAAUAUAGCUAUUCAAGCAGCUCACAAUACAAGGAUUGAAGCAUCUUUGGGAGAGCUUCAAGAGUCCAUCAAUUUCAUUGCUUUCCAACUCAAAGAAGAAAGAAAUAGUCACUGAGCAUCUCAACAAGAAACUAGCUCUUCAUGCCGUAUCAUGGAAACAACAAGUGUUGAGAAGUUAUUAAGUGAUUUUACAAGACAAUUUGGGGAUAGAUUGAUAAAGUAAGAAGAUGAGAUUGAUCGCUUGUCAAGUAAAAUGGAAAUCCUCCAAGAUGCUUUCUUUGAAUUGGAACACAAGACUCGAGCUUGGCAUACUGACAUUGUAGAAAGAAUUAAGUGGCGGGACCAAUUGAAGAUGUUGGUGCGAUCGAGGAAGAGUCUAAAGACGAGAAGGCUUUUUUGGCUAGGCUGAGACAGGGUGACAUUGAAGAAUUUCCGUUCUACUUCUCCGACGAAGAAGAGGGGAAUUCUUAUAUGGAUAAGUUAAGAAAGGGUACGAUUCCUAGUCCUCCUCUUUUGGUCGAAGACAUUGACAUUCCGUCCUAUUUUUCGGAAGUUUAGAGGAUGAGGAGCUUUAUGGAGUUCACAAUGUUAGCACCACUCCCCUGGUAAUAGAUGCUCAUAAUACACCCGAAGAGCAUAAAGUCUUAGAAAAGUCAACCACUUCAAAUGGCGACUCUACCUCCUCUUCAAAUGAAACAUCAACGAAAUUCCCCGAACCUACUACUAGGACAACCAAAAGGAAGCGUCUAAGUAGAAGUAAAAGAAAGAAACGCCGCAAAGAAUUGAUGAUGGUUGAGCAAGCAAAGAGUAAGGAAGAUGAACAUUACGUAGUCCUUUGAUGAAGAAGAUUGAUACUACUCCUACCGGUUGUAUUGAGUUUACUCAUCCGCAAUGGGGAAGUAUUCAAGUUACUUUUCCUAACCACGUCUACUCAAAGACCAACGAUGAUAUGAACUACAAGGAGCUUCUUGGAUGGGAUGGUGAUUGCUAGUCUACCUCCGCUUCACCACGUCAAGCUAAUGACGUUAACUAAGCGCUUCCGGGAGGCAACCCAAGUUUCUAUCCUUUUCUUUUAAUUCGUGUGCAUGAUCGUUCUCUAGAUGUCUUGAGUGUCAAACUUUUUUGAUUGAUAUGUCGUGUCAAUUUGGGGUAUUGUCGGUCUUGAUAUGAGUGAAUUUGAUGAUUGUUUGGUGUUUAGUUGGGUGAAAAUGUGUUUUUCUUUUUCUCUAGAAACGUACAGAGUUGCUACUGUCUGAAAGCUAGUCACGGCCGCGAUGCCUCUUGUGUCACGGUCGUGAUUCGUCCUUUCAAAAACUUGCUGUUUCAUUUAAAAUCAGAGCGGGGAUUGGGAGUUUGAAAACCCGUCAUGGCCGUGACGCCCAACCUGUCACGGCUGUGAUGCGUAUCGUAUCCAGCAGCCUCUUUCCCUUUCUAGACACAGAGAACAACCGAAACCACACACUUUCAACGUCGGUUCCCCCAUACUUCUUCUCUACCACUCCUCCACCUAUCUCACCGGCGCCGGAACUCUUCCACCGAUGUCGGUCGUCCCUUCUUCUCCUCCUCUACUCCUUAUCGACCUCCCAACUUCCACCAAAACUCCCAAAACUCCCACAAGUCCCCAACCAACCAAUAACAAUCCAAGUACCCAAAACCUUCAACUUCACACCAACUCCGAUCAGCUGUCUUCUCCAGCCUCCUAAAGCUUCUCUGGAGGCUUCCUCAACCCAAGGGAGCUUCCAAUUUCUUCCUCCAACCUCCAAUUUCGGAAUUCCCCAAUUUUUGGUGAGUUUUCGAUUUUUAGGUCGAAAUUUUGAUUAUCAGAAUUUAUGCCAUUGAGUUGCAAUUGAUGUGAACAUUAUGAUUGGAAUAAUGUAUAUGAUUGCCUAGGAUGAUUUUUGCAUGAUCAGAACGUGUCGUCCACUUGAUUUUUCAUGUUUUUCGAAGCGGUGAAAUUUUUGGGUUACCCAAUUUUGGAGAAUCUGAAAUUUUAAGUUGUUAUUGAUGUCCAGGUGUUUCAUGUGACUUGUUGUCAUCGUUGUAUACUCGUGAUUCUUCUUGUUUGAUUGAAGUCAUACGUUUACCUUGAAUUGUGAUUUCGCCAACAUCGGUAGAAUUUUGAUGUUUUGCCAAUUUUGAGAAUCUGAAAUUUUGAAAGUUGUUGUUGACUUCUUCGUAUUCAUUGUGACUACAUGCAUCUCUUUGUGCAAAUUCUACUUAUUGUUUGAUCAUAAUCAUUGAUAUGAAUUGUUCUUGAAUUUUGUCAAAAUCGACCAAGUUUCGACUUGUCCAUUUCGAGUUCAUUGUUGAUGUUUCUGUUUUGUUAUACUUUUGGUAUGGUGAUCGGUAUUUAUUGUGAAUUGUGAUUUCAUUGAACUUCACUUGUUCUAGGAUGUUAGUUUGUUCUCACUUUGAAUAACUAGUCAUUCUAGUCACUUUUAGAGCUAUCUUUUGAGCUUUCCAUUUCCCAUGACUUGUGCUUAUUUAGGUUCAUUUGCUUUACUUGUGUUAUGCUAUUCUUGCAAAGUAGUCUAUGUCGAGCAAAUGAUCUAUUUCUUUUUGUCGCUUGGGAUUCUUUAAACUUGUUCGAGAGUUUGAUGGAUUGGGAAGCAUUGUGCAAUAUAUUAUUAGAUUGUGAUUUUUGGCAUUUUGGAUUACGUUUGGAUGGCUUAAUUUUGCAGAUGUCAGGUGAGGGUUCUUCUCAGUCGCGGGAUGACCAAGGAGGAAGAGACAUGUUUCUAAUGAUGAUGAGAGAACAGCUUGUACUGUAGCUGCUAUGCAUCAGGCUAGGGAGCAGCAUAUUCAGGAGGUUACGGCCGCUGCUUUUGAGGCCUUCUUGACUUUCAACAAUCCGAUCUUUCGGAGUCGCUGCCAGAUUGCCAGGGGGAAGAGGAUUGUAGCCACGAGACUGUUUGAUUGGACAUCUAUUGAUGCUACUCCUCUUAUUGGCUGGACUUUUCAAAUGCGUUAGCUGUUGCAGUCGCCUUGACCGGGCUCUUUCUGUUGAUGAGCCCAGUCGUGAGGUACUCACCCAGGAGUUAUUCUCCACUCUGAUGGUGGACCUUCAGGCUGAUAGGGAUGAUACGUCAGCUAUCAGAUUCCGCAUGGCGGGAGAGUCUUGGCACUUCUCUUUCUAUCAGUUUGUCGUCGCUUGUGGUUGUUAUGACGAGGCGGAAACUGAGGAGUUCAGCAGCUGUUGAUCUAUCGAGGUAAUGAUACUUUGACUGCUGCCAAUGCCUCAUUCUGGUCUCGAAUGCGGAGAGAUGCUAUACCAUUUGCUGCUGGGAGGAUCAAGGCGAUACUUUUCAAGAACCCUCUUCACAGAUUCCUCAGGGAGGGUUGGCUAUGAUUAUCACUGCUCGCCAUGAGAGUCUUGGCACAUCCUAGCUGGAGACUUGUUCCUGAUUCAGAUGAUGGUAAACGGUACACCGGCACAUUUGGGCUAUCUAGUGGCUCAUCACUUGCAGUUCAUGUGCGCUCCGUCUUCCUCAGCUCUUCUUGGCGGUGCUUACAUCGCUCGGGUGGCCAGAUACUUGUGGCUACUCGACCGGUUCAGAGACUUCCCGACCUACCCGUCGAUGAUGAUGGAUUCUGCUUUGCUCGUCUGCAUGAAGCUGCUUCGUGCGGUGCGUGGUUUAGGUGGUAGGGCCUACGAGGUGACUGCUGAUGCCCACAUUCCAGAACAUGAUGUGGAUGAGGAGGCGGAGAUGGAUGCCAUGGAUGCCCCUGUUUCUCCACCACAUCCCGAUGAGAACUUAUCUCUUCCAGAUGCAGUGCGCCGUCUCACGGAUCAGCAGGCACAGUUUCAGGCAGAGACUCGAGCUGCAAUGGCUGAUCUCACCUCUCGAGUCUACUAGUUGCAGCGUCGAGAUUAUGAGAGGCAUGGUGAAUCUCUCCCACCCGGGCUACCACCAUUCGAGUGACUCUAGUGUGGCUUUUCAGGACAUUUAGUGUUUGAUCUUUAUUUUUCUUUUUCUUUCAUUUGAACUUUGUGAUAUCCUCUAUUAUGAUGUUACGGAUUUGUUUUCACCCCAUUAAGCACUUGUGCUUAUGGUGGGUGAUGUCCGUACUCUACUCUUUUCUUCUUUUCUUAUGUUUGUUUCAGGUUUCCCAACAUUUCUCUAAUCAUCGACUUGGAUUACUCUAUUAUGGAUCAUCUUUGUGAGUUGUUCCACCCUUCAUCCUUUGUGCUUGUUUUUUACGGUACACUUUCUCCUACUCUAUUAUAUUUUGGUCCCAUUGAGGACAAUGUGAUGUUCAAGUGUGGGGGGAUUAUGAAAGUGUACCAUGCUUGUUAUUGUUGGAUGUUUAGGGUGCUAGUUCAUUUUGCCUUCUUCUUUGGAUUGAUGCCAGUUCAUGUUGGCCUCUUAUUUUGAUUGAUGCAUAUUGUGGCUUAGUCUUGCUUUUCGAAACUCCCUCUCGAAUUUGAAUAUGUGGAUGUCUUUGGAUACAUUCUUAGUAUUUUCAUACUGCUCGAGGAUGAAUAGGUUGUUAAGUAGAUCAUUUGUGGACCACCUCCCAUUUUUCUGAAAUUAGUUUGCUUCGAACUUGUGCAUAUGGAAGUUAUGAGUUUUUGCAUGUACUUGUUUGAUACGUAUGAUAGAUUCUCUUUAUCGAGCUUGUUUGUGGUGUUAUGAAGUCAAAAUGGACGGGACGGAUCCGAAUGAGGAUGCUUGAAUAAAAAUGCAUUUGGGUUUGUUUACAUCCUAAACACGUGUGGCGACCCUUGAGGUCCGCCUUCUUCACAACCUUUAUGAGGUUUGGGUUGUGGGAAACAGAGACUGGUUACUUCCGAGUCCGGCCAUGGUUGUAACAAUUCUCUCUAAAAAAAAAAAAAAAAAAAAAAAAAAAAAAAAAAAAAAAAAAAAAAAAAAAAAAAAAAAAAAAAAAAAAAAAAAAAAAAAAAAAAAAAAAAAAAAAAAAAAAAAAAAAAAAAAAAAAAAAAAAAAAAAGAAAAAAAAAAAAAAAAAAGGGGAGAGGGGGGGUGCUAGUAUUUUUGGUGAUAGUAGUGCUACGAUUAGACACCCCCUCCCUCAGCCCAGCCAGGACCGUCCGUCCGUCCAUUUCUUCCGCUAGUACCACAAGACAUAAGUGCGAUGGAGAAACUCUUGUAUAUUCGCGUGUAUAGGUGUUUAGUCAUAAUCUCUAUAUGUUUGAGUUUGGUGUGAACUUUUCUAAGGGAUUCGGUGUCUUGUACAUAAUUGAGUGGUUUGGUGUUCGACUUGCAAUUUUGGCAUCGUGAAGUAGGCUUGAAAUUCUAAGCUAUGUAUUUCCUUUCACCAUGAUUCGAGUUCUUUUUUUGCGUGUGAUUAGUAGAUUUGCUUGAGGACAAGCAAUGUUUAAGUGUGGGGGGAUUUGAUAGCUUGAUUAUUGGUAGCCAUGUUGACCCUAUGGUAGUCAUAUUGACCCUACCUUGACCAGUUUUUGCUCCGAUUUUGAUGAUAUUUGAUGGUUAUAAGUGCCCGGUUUGAUCAUAAGUGCAUUUCGUGCUCGUUUCCUCUCGAACGGAUCUGUUUCACUUGUUUCUUGGAGUCUCUUCCUUGAUUGCAGGUAUCUGUUGGAUAGAGGGUUCGAAUACGAAACCGAUGGUACCUGUCGAUUAAUGUUGCUGUUGACCGAAAGAAGAAGUUAUGACCGAAGAAGUCGAUCAAUGCUGCUAUUGACCAGUCAAUAGGUGUCACGGUCGUGAUGGGUAACCUGUCACGGCCGUGACGCCUAGUCUGGACAGCAAAAUUAAUUCAACACCAGACGCGAUUUCAGAAGGGGGAAGACAGAAAAUGACGAACUAAAACAUAUUUUGACGAAGGGGAAAGUGCUUGGGAGCCUAGGAACGGCAUGUGAAUGAAGAUUUGAAGCCAAAUAGUCGAGGAAUCGAAGCCCAACGGAGGAUUAACCUUCUAUUUCGGUGGAUUGGCGGUUUGAACCUUUCUCUACAUCUUCCAUGAAAAAAUAGGUUUUCUUCUUGUUUGGGUUUUGUGAAUUCUUUUGGAUUUAUGGGAUCGUUCUUGUGUGUAGUGAUAGGAUUGUGGAUUCAUGUUGAUUGAUGAUGUAUUUUGUUAUCUCGUUGCCUCGAUUGUCCUGUUUCCAUUCUUUCGCAGUUUUCUCAGUUUCCCUGAUUUGGGUUUUCUUAUGAGAUUGUUGUCGAGUUGUUUGUUGAGCGGAUACUUGCGGGUGUUGAGAGUGGUUUUAGGUUGUUCAGUUGACAGACCCGAUCCUAAGACCCGAAACUUAUCGUUAUCCAUGUUCAUGUUUAUUCUGCAGCUGAACAGUUUCCCAUAGUUCUUAGGAUGAUCCAAAACCUGAACAAGGCCUUUCCCCACAGUCGUUCUAACCUUAAUUUGAUCUGUAGCCGUCGAGUGAUAUAUUUGCAUUCUUGGUUUCCUGUUUCCAUUAGUAGUUGUUUUGUUUUCAUUUUAUAAUUUAGGAUAAAACUGUCUCCAAAUUGUGAUCGACUAACCAGCGAACCAAAACUGAGUAGUGAAAGUCAAGUGACCCGAGAGAAUUUGACUCUGAAUUAUCUCAGGAUCAUUUGAUUGUUUGGGCUUGAAAACCCUAACGUCACACACUUUUACUUGUUUAACGGUGUUUAAUUUCCUGAAAUUUAAUGUAGUUAGAAGGGUAAGUCUCGAAAGCUCAAGCUAUGAAAGAGAUGUUUGGAAAGCUACGAAGAAAACUUGCAAGGGCGACUUUGAACUAUUUGGAGUCCCAGGUCUUGCUUUUUCCUUUCUCUUUUAUGGAUGUUUUGUUUUUCUUGUUGAAAGGUUACUCAUGAGAGCCUCAUCAAUAUAACUAAACCUUGUGCUCGCUCGCUGUUUAUCUGAUUUUGAUUUUGAUGAUAGGGUGUCCAUUAUGAGCUUGAGAGCACCAUGCCCCACGUGCUCUUUUGUUGAUUUUGCAAAUCGUAAGGGUGUCAUACAUGGAAACUUCACUGCUAUAAAGAAAUCAGACUAAAGCUCCGGAGAAAGGCCUCCAGCUGAAAUGUUUUUUGCUGAGGCGGUGUACAAGAAGGAUGGAUUUGGGGUGGACAUUAGUUGUUGGAGCAUCGUUGAUCCUGCUGUAAAGGGUGGUAAUCAUUUUAUCAAAUCUCUGGAUCCUAUAUGUUGGUCUGUGAAAAUCAUUAAGUUCACAUCAGUAGCUGCUGCUUAUGGUAUUAUGGAUCUUUGUUUUUGUAGGACGUUGUGAGUGUUGUUCUGUGAAUGAUUAUGAACCCGGAGAAAGUGAAUCAGAGUAGUUGCCUGCAAUUCUCAAGCAUGGAAACUGGAACAUGGACACUCUCUCGCAAUUACAAAAGAGGGUUCGUUGUUCUCGUUUUAUUAUUCCCAUAGUUUAGUCUGAUGGACAGUUAUGUACGUAUAAAUGAUAGAUAACUAUUUUAUUCUAGCACAAGGGGAUGUGAAUAAUAAAAUGUAAUAGUAGGCUCGUAAGAUUGAUCCUGUGCCGACCACUCUGAGCUUCAAUUUUAAUCCUUGAAAUGGUUAUGACAUUGUAUAGGAUCUAAUGAAGGUCCUAUCAAGGGAUGGACAACCGAAAUUGUUUGUCUACAGCGGGGUCAUGAAUGUAUGGAAUGAUGUCAGUUGUGUGAAAGGUGUUUCAAUAUAGCUUGUAAGAAAGGAUCAGUGAAGGCAGGCAAACAUGCAAGUCGACUCUCAAGGACUUAGCUGCCAAAUGGAUACAAUGCAUCAACUCUCGCUUCACAAAUCCUUAUUCCUAUGAGUAAUGACAAGCGGAAAGUACCCUAAACGCAACGUUAUAUACAGAAUGAUAAGUAGGAGAACACCGACUGGAUCCAUGACGCAAUUGGUAACGCGUGCGACUUCAGAUCAGAAGGUUGCUUGUUCGAUUCAUGUCGGGUUCAAUCUCCUGGUCUUUCAAAUUGGACUUUCAAGAAGCCCAGCCGACAUUGCUGGUGGGGCAAGUUUGAAAGAGACAAAAAAUAUGAACUUGGGUUAAAUAAAAAAAAACCCAGUCGUCAUUGGGUAAGCGAAUUGAGGAUAAGAUUCCUGAAAAGCUUUGGUGGGGGGGGGGGAAUUUGUUGCUUUAUUUUUUGGUUUAAAUUUUAUCGGAAUAACGAAAAUUGUUACAUCCUCUGUAAAAACAAAAUUGUUUCUCGUCUGGAGUAUGAAUGAAUGAAUCUGAGGUAAGCAGUAGCAUGUUCAUAUAUAGAAGAAGAGCACCAGACAAGUACAAAAGUACGUUACACCGUCCAAUCAUUUCCAAUCAUACUGAAAUUUUUUGCCCAAAUUAUGUGUGUACUACUUACUACUAAGUUCAUUGAAUCUGCACCUAAUCCUAAUACUCUUGUUCAAUUGCAUGUAAUUGUAUCUGCAAUAGUGCAUGAUUUCAAUGUCAGAAUUAUCGGACAAACGAAAUUUCAAUAUAAUCCAUUAAUUAUUAAAUUUGACGAUCUUCAAGAUAUCAGUAAUGAGAUUCGUUAGAGCGUGUGCAUGUCUCGUCCUGAUAUUGUCUGGAUAUUUUUUUAACAAAAUUAAGUUUGACAAUCAUCAAGAUAAUAUAAGUGACGAGAUUCAUUAGGGAGUUUGCGUGUGUGUCUCGUCCUUAUAUUGUCUUUUUUUAACUAGAUUUAUAAAUAUGCGUCAUGUAAAGAAAAAAAAGGUAUAAAAAAUCCUGAGUGUAGUCAAACUCACAGUGACCACCAUCGGUUAUAUUGUUAGAAUCUCUUUAGGUUGAGCAUUGUCUCAAUAACAUUAAAUGAGGUGCUUUCUUAGUGAUUUGAUAAAUCGUCGAAUAAUUGUUAAAAUAAUUUAAUGAUCUUUCAUUAUGUGAUUGCAUAUUUAUUAUUGUCAUCGAGGUCAAUACUAUACAUAGACAUUAUAGAAAAUAUCCAAAACAAUCGCUGAAUCGAUAAAUUAACGGAUCAUAAACAAUCAUUUAACUCGAUACUUAACCGAUAAGAUUCCGUCGUACAACUAACUACAAGAGGUCGGCUGGCUAGUUGACAAAUACAUCCUAGGCAGUUUGGUCUCAAAUAUUAUGAAAUAUUAUAAGAAAGGCCUACUAGCUAGCUAGUUGGGAGUUGGAAACUUAUGGUUACAUAUAAAUUAGAAAGGGGGGAAGGCACUCAUAAGUCAUAAGAAUAAUUUUUUUAAAAAAAACGUAUACUUUUGUUAUUGUACGUACAGCUAAGAUGUUUACAUGUGUAGUGACAAGUUGCCUAAUUACAUCCCCAACUUGGGGAGUGUUCCCUUAAUUAAUUAAAAUGGCUUAAAUAAACUAAGUAUGUAUGCGUAUAUGAUGCAUAUGCUAGUGACUGUCUCAAUACUGGAGCACUCACUAGUUACAUUACAUCCCAUCUCUCUCUAAUCCUUUAACAGCUCAGUUUAUAGCUUUCAACAACGUGACCAUCAUUCAUUGUAUCGUGCAAUUAUUAGUUUUCAUCUAUUUUCUCAUUUCAUUUUUUUCCAAUUUAAUUUGCAACUUAGUGAUAUUUUUAUAUUAUAGAUAAAUUGAAAAAUAAUUAUUUGUGUUGCGGGUAAAUAUUAACAAUUAAAGUAUCACAUAAGAGAAGUUUGUCUUUUUUAUAAGUGUUUACCAACCAAACUAGUAUAAAAGGAAUUCAAAAUACAGGUGCGUGCAAUUCAAAAGUGGAUCGGCGAGCCUAACAAAUAUUGAAAUAUUUGAAUUGAUGUUUUUCCAACCGGUCAAUUUAACUUUUAUAAAAAUAUGUUUAUAAUGUGAUUUUUUUUAUUAUUAGAAUGGCUAAUUAGAUAGUUACAGUGCAUUUGCACCGGAAUUUUAGCAAAAAUACAAACAAUCAUCUCCUCCGGCGGCUUCCCCUCCCUCCCACACAGCUCCACUUUGCUUUUGGUUGAAAGCAUUUAAAUUUCCAUAGUCGGAGGAAGUGGAGCCCACCAGUGGUGGGUGGAGCAAAACGGCACGGACCACGUGACCGUCCGGUAGCGAGUUUUGGAAAGGUUGUCUAAAACGUCACGUCUGUAAAUUUCCCGGCCGACGUGGAGCUCGUCGGAAGUGGGUUGGCCUGGUCCCUCCCGUGUCCUCCUCCUCCUCCAAUUAUUAUAAUACGUUUCCAAGUCAUUGAUAUUUCUCUUUUUUUUCACGUACUUUUGAGCGGUUAAUAUGUUUGUUUGAGAUUUACAAUAUAAUUACAUAAAUCAGUGAUACCAUUUAAAUCAUUAGAUCUCUACUAGCCCGGAGAUCAUCUGAUACGGCAAGAACACCUCUAAAACAAGAUGGUGAUCGUAUGUUAAAAAGUUUCCAGUCCUAUUAAGGACGUAUUAAUACAUAAAAAGAUUUAUGAUACAUUGAUAUGGACGAAUGUCUAUAACAUGCAAUAUGAGACGAAAAACCCACAACUAAAAAUGAACCCGAACAUAUUCAAAUUGAAACAUGUAAACAAGCUAAAUCAAGAUGGUAAAAGUCACACUUGAAACAUAUCGUCUCCAAUGAUAACCUCCCUCGGAACUGUUGUCAAUUUCAAAACAAGAGAAAACCCCACACAAAAGAGAAGCAUGGAGGUCGAGCAAAUGCAAAAAACAACAAAAAAAAAAACUGUCCCAUCUUAAAAGCAGCGGCAUCGCCAACCUAAAAAGCUGGUAAAAAUGAGACUGCCAAAAAAGCUAAUACACAACACAACCCUAUUGGCUAACACUUGUAAAUAAUAAUUACAAGAAAUAUGCAUCUCUUUGUUGUUGGGAAGCUAAUCCUAGCAGCUAACUAGCUAGUAAAGCUCUCUCUGCUUCCCAUGAUUUGGAAGCUUUUCUUCACUUCUUUCCUCCUGGGAUCAGAUUAAACUAAUCAACCAUAAUUCAUUAGUAAAAAGUGGAGAAAUUAUGGGUUGGAGGAAAGGGUUUUUGCCCAAAUGCACAAGAGAAUAUACUUAAAGCAGCAGAGGUUCUUUUUUAAUUAUUUACUUUAUUAAGCUGCUACAAUCCAUCCUUGCUUCUUUUCGCAGCUUUUUUCUUGCACUCCAGUCCUCUUUUUUUUUAUUACCACAAGACAAGUUACUAUGCUAGCCUUGUUCAACUUUGAAUCCUGUCAUUUUAACUUUAGUUACUAUAAGAGAAUCAUUAAUUCAUAAUGCUUUAGUUCUCAUGGUAAAAAUCCCUCUAUUUUAGAGUGAUUUAGGGUAUAACAUGGAACAUACGGCAUCGUUCGGUUCUUACAAUCGAGAUUUCUUAAGCACAUUAAUUUUGUCUAUAUAUAGCCACAAUCCUUCUAAUUUAGUCCAUUCCUCCAAUGUAUCUUGAAUACCAUUUGUUUGAUAUAACAAGUAUGUUAAUAUAACUACAAAGGAGGUGAUCACCUGUAACGUACGAGCCAACGGUGGAUUCAAGGGGUCUUCCCGGACUCGGUUCAAUGUAUUUUUAAUUUUUGAAGUUUAAUGCUAUGUACUUUCCUUUAUACUUUUCAGUUUGUUGGCAUUUUUUCUACAUGUGGCGGCCCAGGUAGAUGUUUAACUCACAUAGAAUCACAUAGUAGAUUGCAACCAAGCAUGCCAUUAAUUUAUCAACGUCAAAUCAUUAUUAUACAUUUUCAUUCAAACAUUAGACAAACUAGCAAUAAAGCUCAAGAUUUAAAUUGAAAGGUAAGUAGUUCGAAUCCUAUACCCAUCAUAUGAAGAAACUUGUUCGACGUGACAACAUUCGAGUCAUAUCCUCUAAAUGAAACAAAUUAGUCAUUUACCAACUAGUGACAUACACCUUUUUUGUAUAGUCGAUCGAACGAUAUGAUAAGUCGAGUAUAUAAAUACGCCUAGUUACAUAACCGUUUCGAUGAGUCGAUGAAUAUACACCCGUUACAUUAAAACAAUCAUGUUGACAACGCAAUGAUACUAAACAUAAUAUUGACAUAUAUAUAUAUAUAAUGUGUUUGAUUUGAACUCGAUAUCUCUAAAUUAUCAACAAAUAACGUAACCAAUUAUGCUAUUUCACGUACAAAUAUUGAUUAAUGAACAGAGAUGGAAAAUUGAAGGGUAAAAUAAAUAAGGGAGAAUGAGUGAGGGAGAGAGAGAGAGAGAGAGAGAGAGAGUGGGGUAUUAUAUGGUGUCUCUCUCUCGCUAUCUCUGGGCUCUGCAGUCAGCAGCUAGCAAUUGUAUACAGAGAAAUGAAAACGAAAGGAUAUAGGCCAAAUGCAACCUUAUCUAACCCACGGCGUCACCACAAGACACGUGUCUCUCCAGGGGAAGUGAAAGACUUUUGGAGUGUGGGAAUGGAAGGCCUCUGUAAAAAGUAAAGGCAGGUUUAGAAGAUAGGUAAACAAGUAAAAAGCCUGCAGUAAAAAAGAAAAUAUAACUCCGAAUCCCCACUUCAUCGCAAUUAAAAUGCGGUAUUAGAGUGAUGCUGGAUCUCCUCCAUUCUCCAAUACUAUGUUAAUGCGAUUACGAAGGAUGUUUGUGUUUCCUGCUGGUUUAGUGGAAAGCUUAACCAAACUCCACAUCUGCAUAAACAUUCAUCUAUGUUUGCUGACCAAACCAUCCAUUACGGAAUUGUUUUUUGUUUUUCUUCUACUUCAAACUUAUUAACUUAAUUAAGAUCAACUCUACCGAUAUUUGUAAUCCCAGCAAAAAUUAACUCACAUCAAUCGUUAUCAUAAACGAGGGGGUCGUAAAUCCAACCAUAUUGAUAAAUUUUGUAAAUAUCUAUAAUUUAUAAAUUAAUAUUACAGACAUAAUAUUUUCACACUCAUAACAUGUGCUCAUCUAGAUUGGUGAUUUAAUACAAAUGGUUACAUUUUUUCCACCCUUAAAGCUAUGGUUCGUCACUCGCAAUCAAUGGUGGAAUUAAGGGUGGACGAACUUAGACUUUCAUCUGACGUAAUUAUUUAAGAUUCUUCGAUUAUGAAAUAUACAAUUUUAUGAGAUUUUCAUAAUUAAUUUUUUUUUAAUAUGUUUUUGAAUUUAGUUCAAUAUAUUUUUAAAUACACUUAAAANNNNNNNNNNNNNNNNNNNNNNNNNNNNNNNNNNNNNNNNNNNNNNNNNNNNNNNNNNNNNNNNNNNNNNNNNNNNNNNNNNNNNNNNNNNNNNNNNNNNNNNNNNNNNNNNNNNNNNNNNNNNNNNNNNNNNNNNNNNNNNNNNNNNNNNNNNNNNNNNCUCUUACAGGUCUCCCCCCCCCCCCCCCCCCCCCUUAUUUUAUUUAUAAAAUAAUAAAUAACCCCAGACCAAAAACAGAGAAAUUGAGCUUGAAGCUCAUACAUGCCACGUCAUACUUCACAUUUUUUCUUCAUUCAAUAUAAUUAAUUAAUAAUUUAUUUUUCAUCAUCAAAUAAUCCAAAAUUCACUCUCUCAUUCAUUUCUCAUCUGGGGGACUUUUUUUCUUCCAACUCACAGAGCUUUCUUCGCCUUUCCUUUCCUCUCUUUCUUUUUUCCCUUCACUUUCCUUUCUUUGAUUCCCAACUUCCCAACUUCAAGCUAAUGUAAUUCUGCUUACUUCCCACUUUUUCUUAUCUCCAGUGGUGGUGGUGAGUUCUCCCUAGUUCUUGUUCUUCCCUGGUGGUGGUGGGGAUCACAUUUUUUUUUUUGUUUCUUUCUUCUUUGCUGGUGGAAGGAGCUAUGAAUCCCCUUAAUGGAAAGGGAUCCCUCUCCGCUUCUGUUUCCAGAGUCAACUGGAAAUCCGGCGAACCAGUCGCGGAUCAGUUCCCCGCCGGACUCCGUGUUAUGGUCGUUGACGACGAUCCCACUUGCCUCAUGAUUUUGGAGAAGAUGCUCAGAACCUGUCUUUAUCAAGGUAGUUUACCGGCUUCAUGCUCAAAAGUAGAGUGAUGGGUUUUAAGAUCUAUUUGGAAUUAGCUUUGUUUUGCGACCAAUUUUCGGAAUCUAAUUUGAAUUUGGUUUGACUUGUGAUUAUCUUUGAGAUUUCUGCUGCCUUUUUUCAAUUGGAUUGAUCUCCUUUAUCUUCUUUUCCUUGUAAAUUUCCAAUCUUCAGUGAAGAAAUGCAGUAGAGCAGAGGAGGCCUUGUCAAUCUUGAGAGAGAACAGAAAUGGGUACGAUAUAGUGAUAAGUGAUGUACAUAUGCCGGAUAUGGAUGGGUUUAAGCUGCUGGAGCUUGUUGGUCUGGAAAUGGAUCUGCCUGUUAUCAGUAAGUAUAUUAUCUGCAAUCUUUGUUUGUGAUUUAGGGUGUGAUAGAUGAUGAUGAUGAUGAUGAUUGUGGAACUUUAUUGUGUGAAAAUCUUGAAGUGAUGUCUGCGGAUGACUCGAAGAGUGUGGUAAUGAAGGGAGUCACUCAUGGUGCUUGUGACUAUCUGAUAAAGCCGGUUCGGAUCGAGGCUUUGAAGAACAUAUGGCAGCAUGUUGUUCGUAAGAAGAGGAGUGAGUUGAAGGAAGUGGAGCAAUCUGAGAGUGCUGAGGAAGGGGAUUCUAGGCAGCCUAAACAGUCUGAGGAUGCCGAUUAUUCUUCCUCGAUUAAUGAAAGUAACUGGAGAAAUUCCAAGAGACGGAAGGAUGACGAUGAGGAAGGAGAGGAUAGGGAUGACACCUCCUCGUUGAAGAAGCCUCGAGUCGUUUGGUCUGUUGAGCUGCAUCAACAGUUUGUCGCUGCGGUUAACCAGCUUGGCGUAGACAGUAUGUCUCUUCUUACUCAUUACCGGACCGAUCCCUUCAUUUUGUUAGCAACUUUUCUAAAUUAUGUAUCCGUUGAUUCUUAAUGUCUUAUGUGUUUGUUGGAUCUGAUCAUACAGAGGCCGUGCCGAAGAAGAUUCUUGAGUUGAUGAACGUACCUGGACUCACUAGAGAAAACGUUGCUAGCCACCUUCAGGUAUGCUCUAAAUGAACUAUUUACAAUGUCAAUUCUUGUUCAUACAGUCUAUUUUUUCCCGGUUGAUGCAUCAGAGCUUGAGAAAGUUUGAUGUGUUUCUAAUUUGAUGCCCCGGUUUUGUGAGGUACAGAAAUAUCGAUUGUAUCUGAGAAGGUUAAGUGGUGUUUCUCAGCAUCAAAACAAUUUGGGGAACUCGUUUAUGUCCCAAGACCCAGGUUAUGGACCAUUGUCCACACUUAAUGGACUAGAUCUUCAAACGCUUGCUGCCACUGGCCAGCUCCCAGCUCAAAGUCUUGCAACCCUUCAAGGUGCAGGAUUAGGUCGAGCGGUUCCAAAGUCCAGGAUCCCAAUCCCUGUAGUUGAUCAGAGGAGCCUGUUCAGCUUUGAGAACCCGAAAUUGGCUUACGGAGAUAGCCAACAGCAACAGCAACAUCAUUUGGGUGGUGGUAUGCAGAUGAACUUGCUUCAUGGAAUUCCAACAAAUAUGGAGCCAAAGCAGCUUGUGAAUUUGCACCAUUCGGGAUCAUCUCAUGGAAGCAUGAACGUGCAAGUUAAUUCUCAGAGUGGGUCUCUGCUAAUGCAAAUGUCUCAACCACAGUCUAGAGCACAGAUGCUAAAUGAUCAUACUGUAGCCAACCAAGUUCCUAGGAUUCCUUCGACUGUAGGUCAGCCGAUCAUGUCAAAUACCCUUGCUGGCGGUAUCAUGUCGAGAAAUGGUAUGGACGAAAGCAACAGACCAAUGGGAUAUAAUAAUCCAGCUUCACAGUCUUCAUCAAUCAUGAACUUCCCCUUGCACAGCUCAGCAGAACUGCGAAGUAAUAAUAGCUACCCUCUUCAGAAUAAUCCAGUUGUAGCCAACCUCUCGUCAAAAGGUGCUUUUCAAGAAGACGUGGCCUCAGAAAUGAAAGGAGCGCCAGGAUUCAUGCCUAGCUAUGACAUUUUUGGUGACUUGAACCAGCAGAAGGCCCAUAAUUGGGAGCUGCAGAAUGUUGGCUUGACCUUUAAUGCCUCGCAACAAGGCAAUAUUGAGGUGGGCUCUUCGGGUGUAUCUCGUCAAGGUUUUCCCUCUGGUCAAGGAAGUGGCCAAUCCAGGAAUUCAGCAGCUAUUGUAAGCAGGCCGCCUAUGUUCUCUGCUGCUGGCGUGGAACAUGUGAACAACACAAUAAGUGUCGGCCAGCAUAUGAAUAACCUCUAUUCCGAGAAUAAUCCGGUUAGUAUUAAAGUUGAAAGGAUUGAUACAGGCAAUCAGACUACUCUCUUUCACGAGCAAUUUGGUCAAGAUGAUCUCAUGACUGCAUUACUCAAGCAAGUAUGUAGCUUUUCUCCUUGAUUUGACUCUUUCUGAUUCAAUGUCCUGCUCUUGAACUCUCGACUCUUUCUGAUUCAAUGUCUUGCUCUUGAACUUUGGUUUGACCAUAUUCUCACUUUUUGCAGCAGCAGGGAGGCAUUGGACCAGCAGAUAAUGAGUUUGACUUAGACGGGUAUACCUUCGACAAUAUUCAUGUAUAGGAAUGUCGAUCAAGCUCCAAUACGGCCUUGGUUGGUCAAUGCAGUUGCUGAUGUACAUACAUGCAGUCGCCUGUGGACCCUGAUCUCUUCAAGUGACAGCAUAGUGAUUCAAAGUUAGAUGGAAUUGUUCAGGAAGGAAAAUAUUUGGUUGCUUUUUCAGGUAGCUGCAUUUCAUCUGUCAAUAUUGAGAGUUCUGCUGGGUAUAAAGGUGGUGGGGGCAUAAAAGAACCAGAAUGGGGAAGUUGCUAUCACUACGAGGCAUGAUAUGAGAAGGCAUAGCAUGCAAAUUUUUGGAAGGAAAGUCUGUCUAGUAUUUGAAGCAGCAAAGAAACUAAUUAUUAGGAGGGAGCAAAUUGUGGUUAUCUUGGGCUAGAUGAUGUGCUUCAGUAGAAGUUUGCAGAAGAAAAGUAGCUAGCUAGGAAAACCUGUUUUUCUAACUCUAAUAACUCAGUUUGUGAUCAUUUGAUUUUGAGUUUGCUCUCUUGCUUUUUUUUUCCAGAUUUGUUAUUUCAGGAACUGACCUUGAUUGUACAUAUUCUAUUCCCCCAUUUGUUUGCUCUUUAGACAUAAGUCCUUCCUGGGUAUAUUUUUCUCCAGGAUGUUUUCCUCUUGUAUUUGAAUGAAUAUUCCAGCAACUCUCUUUUAUUUUAUCUCAUCUAAUCAUCAUACCCCUAUCUGUUUUUAGCCUUUUAGGGUUGGUUUGGCAAUGGAAAUCAAGAUUUUUAAGAAAAUUAAGUGGAAGGAAAUUGAGUUGAGAUUGGUAAAGGUUGUGUUGUUCCCGUAUAAUACAUUUAUCGUUUCCUUGUCAUCUAAACAAAACAUGUAUGAAUGAAUGUAGUUUUUCAUCAGGAUAAAACAAUAGAAUAGAACUCUCGUCAGAUAUUACACCUCCCAAACAGAGCCUUAAAUCGAAACCAUGGAAUUUGGGAGCAAAAUAUAUUCAAGAUGAAGCCAAUAAAGCAAGCAAACAGACAAGAUACAAUACAAUGCUGAUCAGUUCAAGAUUGAUCUUUGUAAGAGCAUAUAACUUGGAAGGAAAAUUACAAAGAAAUAGAGUAAUAGUAGUAGCAGAAGUAGUACUAAAGACCCAAACUUGAAAUCCUGUUAGGGACAACAUCUACAGGAACAGGUUUUACAUUUUAAGCUUCAGUUCUUCAGUAUGUCUGUCACAGUGCAGCAGUUUUCAACUGGGGAUCCUGCUGUCCCCAUCAUCAAACUUGGAAUAGUAUUUACCAAUCUCUCGACUUCAAUGCCUGCUCAAUUGUACCGAUCAUUGAACAUAAACCAAAAGAAUGAAAAAAUCUUCACAUCACCCAACAGCUACCAUAGAUCCUGCCUCAGUAGGGAUGCCACCAGUGUUCCUAGUAUUAGAGACAGAAUUGUCACAGGAGCCCUUCGGUUAACGCUGCUCGUUGGGUACAUUGUAGGAAGAGAACAUUCUUCACCAUUGAAGAACACUUUAGUAGGGAAACCAUCUCCGAGUGGCACAUUAAUUCCAGGUGUGGUUCUCUUGGUAAAUGAGACCACAGACUGCUGUUUUCCGGGGACUCUUGGAUCCUUGCUUGGGUUGAGACCAUCAGUCUCCCCAACUAGGUAGUUCAGUCCAGGAAGACCCUGCAUGAAUAUGGUGUUGUUGGAAUUCGGCAGCAUGGUUCCAUUAAAUGAAUACAUGGCUUCGAAACCUCCGGCUGCUUUGUCCAUUUCGACGGCAACAAACCAAUCAGGGAAAGGAAUCUCCGCCCAGUUGAAGAGCGUGAUCCUAGAACUCCAUCCUCGACUGUAAUCAGUAUUCACAUGCCAAUUGAUGCUCACCCCACAGUUAUCAGCACACGGCAUCGGGUUGGGGAGUGCUCGAUGCUUGAUGUUGGCCCAAGCAGCGGUCAUGGCGGAACGAUUCUCAAAAGGAACCAGGAGAGCAUUGGGCGGAAGAAGAACCGCCGGAGUAUUUGCACUACAAGUCUGAGAAGCUGCUUUAUUAGGGCACCCACAAGCACAGGUAUUGCAUGGGACAACCGAAUCGUUGUAGAAUGCGGAGAAUGAAACGCAGCAACGAGGGCUCGAUCCCUUCUGUUGCGUGAUGUUGCACACCACCUGCCAAGUAGCAACUGCAGUAGAAUUCGAUGGUAAACCACUUGGGUCCAGGAACUCACUUGGGCUCACCCUAACAGGAGGUCCACAUUGAUAAUCAGGGUUCAACGUGCCAUUGAUCUUCCAGUUCUGUGGCGGGGAAAGCUCUGAGCGGGUCAGAUUAGGAGGCAUUUUGAAAACCUGCAUCUGGAAAGAAGAGACCGACUUGCUGGGGUCCAUAGAUGGUGGCAAGAUUGUGCCGUUCCGGCAACAAAAAGGGAUCAUUCCGAGUGUGGUGUCGUUGAACUUGGUUGGGGGCAGAUCGAUAAUUGUCGGUCUCCUUUCACAGUUCAGCACGGUGGAGAAGUCCAGCUGUUUGUAGUAUUCGCCCUGAGGACCAAAUAUGCAGGGAGAGGAAUCUACGAGUGAAGGAUACGCACCCUUCAUUGAGUUGAUGAACUCAUCCUGCAUCCAGUCCCAGCUCAGUUUCCAGUUAUCGAGACGGCCUAAGUGAUUGUGGUUGGUGAUGGUAACUUGUGCCCAGUAACUCGAAUCAUAAGCUCGGAUCACAUCGUAAGCUAUCGUCAAAUCGCCACUCUGGCGAGGCAAGAAAUCCCCAUCUAGUAAUGUGAUGUUCGAUUUGGCUUUCUCGUCUUUGACGCAGCAAGUCGACAUAGCACCGCCUGCCAAAUCCACAAACAAAAUAUAAUAGCUGUCCAUCAUCAACAUCAAUGAUAGCAAUUACAAACAUUCAAAGGAAACAAAAGAACAAACAUGAAGCAUUCACUACUAUCCAUCAAACAACUUUCUAGUUACAUCACAAUUUCAUAUUGCUACAAUUCAUGUCCUAAAUCAUAUCUCAAUGGGGCAAAAACAAAAGCUGCAAUUCAAGUCAACGAUAAUUCACUAGUCAAUUCAAUCCCUAGUCUAAUUCAAUGAUCGUCCAAUCAACCCGAAAUCAUCGCCGAAAAUGAGAUCUAAUCCCACACAGAAAAAGAAAACCCUGAUAAUCGUAAUUCUGAUUACCUAGAGUGGUGGUAGCAGGGCAAGACCAUCCAUCAUUCACCAGAGUAAUAUUAGUCGGCCAAGGAAUCGCCGGCGGCUUGACCCCGAACUGAGUCCCCAAGAGCUUAACCUCGACGGAAGUCUGAGUGGAGUCCCCAGCGGUCUCAAUCGCGGUCUUCAAGUCAGUCAUAGGGAACCCGGCGAAAACGGUACCGUUCCCGACUAAAGCAGGGUAGCUGGAGCCGUCAGCUAGAAUCGCAUUGGUGGCAGAGACAAGGAUCUCAUCGUGCUUAAACCCUACAAAGGCUUGCCAGGACUUGAGCUUCUCGAUCCCGUUGUUCUGGACGGUGAGUGUGGACUCGAAUCGGUAAGGCUGGUGUUUCGGAUCAGUAGGCCUGAUCUUGGAUCCGGACCCGUAGCGGUAAGACAGGAAAAUCCCGUUGCAGUUGUCCGCCGCGGGUGCCGGAGCGGCGUCAUCCCCCGCCGGAGCUGGAGGCGUCGUCUGGGAAAUCGUGUGAAACGGUAGGAAGAGGAGGAAGACGGGGAGAGCUAGAGAGAAGGAGAUAGCUGACGGAGGCAUGGUUAUGGGGGAUAGUGGGGUUUCUCCGGCGGAGAUGGAUGGAGGAGGAAGAGAAAGAGACGUGGAGAAAAUGGAAGCUGGGUUUUAGUUUUUGUAGCAGAGAGGAAGAGAGUGGGAAACGCGUCCGGGAGUGGGUAUAUUUUUUCGAAGAAGGGAGAAGACGACAGCUUAGUAAAAGCUGUUAUUUUAUUAUGCGGAGAAGAUUAUGGUGUUUGCUUUUUGGUUCUGUUUUUAAGGGGUUUUUUUAAAUGUUUUAAGGAGGGUAUUUUCUUUUUAUGAAAAACCAACAAACUUUGAAUUUUUUUUUAUUUUUACAAAUACUUUAUGACCAAUUAUAUUAGUUCUCAAAUUCUCUUUUACAUUCGAAUUGAAUUUCAGUCCUUUAAAGAAUCAGCUAUAUUCUUCCAUAAAAUUCAUAGGUUUGAGGUGGGAAGUGGGAGAAAAUCAGAAGGAGAGAGAUGGAAAGCGAAGUGAGAGAGAAAGUCCCGUUGAGUUUGAACAAACAAUACUUUGGCCCACGCUUUCUUUGCUAUUUUGAAUUCAAAUACCGACCCAGUCAUGGGUGGCCCAGCGCCAGUUUGCAUUGAAUUUUUGUGCCACGAUGGACGGUGAGGAUUAGUAAACUACCAUCUCUUACUUUAAUCAAGUUUUUUCUAACUAAUAACAUCUGCAAAAUCCUUACAACAUCUUUGUACAAGUAUAUACAUUUCGGUACAUUUGUACAAAACAUAUACUACUGCUGUUCAUAUUCUUAUACAUACUCUGGAGCAGCUUUAGAGAGCGCGUAAAUCAUUCAUUCUUAGGGGGUAAGCCCUUCCACUUACGCAUUACCUAUUUCCUGUCCUAAAAAAAGAAAUCUGUUGGCGGAACGAACAUUCAAACAUUCGCUGAACACAAACACAAUCUCGAUGAGAAUCAGUACACGGAAGUCGAUCAAUCCACGAAGGUAUGACACUUCUACACCCUCUGCUAGCAGUUUUCUUCUCUUAAGAGAUUUUCGAAAACAAGGGUUCAAUGUAUAUAGACGAUCAAGUUACCAUAGACAACUCAAAUGGAUUGGUUGAGUCCAUUGACUUAACCCAACCGGUAGUUAAACCCAAGAGAGAGGCCUUAUCCCACAAGCAGACGGAAAAAAAAUCCCAUGAUCACACACUUACAUCUGAGUUUGAGUUUAUAUAAAGGUUGUUAUAUCACGCCUGGAUUUUUACUAUAAAACAUCCUAAUAUUUUAAUUUUAUAGGUAGAAUUAUGUGAAUGUCCUUCGAAUAUAAUGUAUAAAUACACCCGAUCUAAUUCAGAACAAAUACAUGACCUAACUCGCACCUUCCGGUCGCCGUCACUGUUGCAUCCGCCGCCGACGCCGCCAUUACGAGGUACCUUUCUUCGGAAUAAAUUAUUUUCGUUGUCGCCGUGGCCGCAUCCGCCGUCGCCAUUACGUAUAUUCCCUUUUAAAAAAAUCGAUUACCGUCAGCGACCAAUUAUAUAACACCGUCGCCAUUGAACGACGGCCAAACCGUGUAUCCAUUGCACAAGUGGAUUUUGAUUGGCUGCGAGAUGAGACAUUCAUUAGUUGAGGGAUUUUAUAAAUAAAUGUAUCAGAACAUUUGCAUAAUUUUCUAUACCAAAUUUAAAUUUUAAAACAUUUAUAAGUAAAAAUUAAAGCGUUAUAUAUUCAGUUAUAUAGAUACGUACAGAGUUUAUGAAUACACAACUCUAUAUGGGUAUACGAUGUGAAGGUUGUACGGUAAAGAUGGAAGUCUGACAACUAUUCAACAAUGUAAUUAUGAGGAGAGAGACAUUUCUAAUUUGCUUAUCUUUUAUAAUCAUUGUUAAGAAUAAUGAAAUUAUGGUUUUAUGAAUAGCAUUUAACCAACCAAGCAACCAACGUUAGAUAAAGAUUUUAUGUGUAGAAUGGGUUGAAAUGGUCAAUAAACGUGAAGUUUGUCUCGUCCCCUAAUCAAUACACUCUCACACAAGCCCAUGAAUACACACUAUCAUGUGUAAACUCUCGCACAAUAAUUUAAAACAAAUUCAGCUAUAUAACCAUCAUCUUCUACUAUAUAUUAUUCAUUUUUAUAUAUACUAAAAUUAUCCACAGUAUACUACAGAAAAAAUUUAAAAAUAAGUAAAGAUAAAUAAAUUUUUUUAUAAAAAAUAUAUUAACAAAAUCAAAACAUGAAAUAUUUUAAUACAUGUCAAUUGAAAAAUGAAAAAUACCACGACUUAUGAAGGUUAUUAUAUAAGUUCAAAAUAAAACUACCAUAAACUCAAAAUAAAAUUUCAAUAAAAUAAAAUUUCAAUAAACCCAAAAUAAAACUUUAAUAAACUCGAAAGAAAUCACUCCAUUUUGUCAUCAUCCGGAGCAAUAUAGCAGCUUUGGUUCAGCUGUUAACCGCAACUUCGCCGCGAAUUUGAGAAAAGACCGUUACUAUAAUCUGCUCGCUAGUCGAAUCGGGAAGCUGCUGCGAAAGUUGCCUGGUUUCGGAGAAUGUUCUGCCUCCUCUGAUCAGGCUGAUCGAAUCUGGAACAGAAAUGGGGGAAGGAAAAGGCCGUCUUUUCGCUCCAGACGCUUUCGAAGCAUCGAUCGUCGACCAUGGCGGAAUUCAGCCGCUGAUCGAGCUGUGUAAAACAGGGGACUCUUUUUCUCAUGCUGCAUCAGCUUGCACACUGAAGAACAUUUCCACCGUGCGGGAAGUUCGGCAGAGUCUCACUGAAAAAGGAGCUGUGAAGGUAAAAUUCGUGAAUCGCUUGUAAAAACUAACGAGGUCAUAAAAACCCUUACUUUUUCUUGUUCGGUUUCUAACAGGUAACCAUCGACCUUCUAGAAUGCGGGAUCCUGCUCGGAACGAAAGAAUACGCAGCGGAAUGCCUACAGAAUCUCACCGCAAGCAACAAGAGCUUGCGAAGAAUUGUGAUAUCGGAAGGCGGGAUUCGGUCCUCGUUAGCGUAUCUCGACAACACUUCUCUGCCUCAGGAAUCUCCAAUUGCAGCAUUGAGGAAUUUGGUCAACUCUGUUUCAAUGGAAACCCUGGUUUCGUCCGGGUUCUUCCCCCGAAUCGUCCACGUGCUAAAGUCGGGAUCUUUAGGAGCGCAACAGGCCGCCGCGUCAGCAAUCUGUCGAGUAUGCGUGUCGAAUUCGGAGAUGAAGAAGCUAGUGGGGGAAGCGCGGUGCAUUCCUUUACUCAUCAAACUACUGGAGGCAAAAUCGAACGGAGCGAGGGAGGCGUCCGCUCAGGCUAUUUCGAGCUUGAUGACGGUAUCACAGAACACGAAGGAGGUUAAGAAGGAUUUCGGGAGGAGCGUGCUGUGUUUGGUGCAGUUGUUGGAGGCUAGCCCGCAGUACGCGGUGGUGUGCCUUUCGGGGCUUUCGUCGACCAAGAAGUGUAGAAAGAUGAUGGUGUCGUACGGGGCAAGCGGGUACUUGAAGAAGCUGAUUGGGGCACAAACCAUGCCUUGUGUUACGGCCACGUUUCUGCAUAUUGUGGACCCUAAACGUACCCAUUCUUGUUCUCUUUCCUUUGAUCUUCUCAAGAUUGGACUCCCGUUGCAUGCAUUAUAUAAAAUCUUGAUUUUCUUUUCCUUAUUGAUUUUAUUGGGGGGUUCAGAUUUAUCUCUGCCGAUGGUGCAUUUAUUCAUUCCAAAUAAUUAAUGUACAUGGUAGACCACACUACAUUUGUCGUAUUGCAGACCUUUGUGAUACACCUUUGGAUUUAGCCCCUUAGACCUUAGUCAUCCUCUUUCCUGCAUCCAUAAUACUUUCUUCAAAUUGGACAUGCAAAACAAAAUAAAGAAAUAUUAGAGUUUGUUAUUCUAUUUUUUUGAAAAUAAUGUCCUAACAUUCAAAUUAUAUAUAUAUAUUAUUACGCAAAUGUUCUUUAUCCUUGUAUUAAAAACUCAAACACACAUCAAUUCGAAAAUAACACCUCCUCCUUCUCUUUAUCCCCACUGCGGCCUUCCCCUCCUUUGUAUCUUUCCAAGUUAACCUUCGACGUAGCAAAAACUAUAAAAAAAUUUAGGUUGGUCUCCCAAAGUGGAUGCCUGUUGAAGGUAGCCGUGGGCGGCCGUUCAAAGAAACAAGGCCCACCAUUUUUUAAAAAUAUAUUAUAUUAAUUUCGCAAUCUUAUGUUAUUAUUCAUUAUGAUAUAUUUCACAAAUCAUAUAUCGAUAAAUGAAUAACGUCAUAAGAUUAUGGUGUUUGGCUUAAAAGAGUCAACUAAUAGAAAUAACCGUUGUUUUUUAUGUGAAGUAUGAGAUUGUUCUUCAUAUGGUUUAAGUACUUGUUAUUUUCAACUCUUGAAGUACCCAUAGAUCGAUGAAGAAGAUCCAACAAUCAUUCACAUGUAAGCGUACAACUGAGUUGAAGAUCGAAAUGUCGUACCACAAUUAUCAUCAUGAAGUCAUCUUAUCGAUUAAGGAACACAUAUUAGCCAAAUAGUAGUGAACUUAAUUGGUUAAGCUCAUAAUAUAUCACACAUUGUCAUUGAUUCUUCUACAAAAUGUUGCCAUGAGCUAAUUUCAAUGUUAUUGGAAAAUAUUUGGGAUCAAAGGGGUAGGUAGGUAGGUGGGUUGUUGGAAUGAAAAGAUGGCGUAUAGGGAGAUGGCUUCUUACUUCUUAGUUCUACAUAUGUUUUGGAAAGUUGUAGAAUGUGUUUGGUUUCUCGUUUAUUUCAGAACAAAUUAGGGGAGUGGUCUAGUAGAAAACAACAGAAAGAUAGAAGGAACUCGACCCAAACUGUUUCACACCCCUCAACUGGGAAGAUACUUCGGCCAUGAAAUGAGGAUUUAAGUAGAACAAAGUUGUCUGGGGUGGUCAAUAUUUUUACAACUUGGAAACAGAGCAAUAUAUUAUUGUAAGAUUUGGCAGAAUAGAAGCCUUAGAUCAAAAAGACUUUGUAUGGAGUGAAUGAACGGUCUAAACAACAAUUAUCGAGUUGUAGAAUGUACAUACACUGAUUUAUAAAUAUGACAGCAGAGAUUUCUACAGUAUCAUAUGGGAAGAAGCUUAUAUUAUCAGUGGUCAGAAAGCGAAUCUGAAAUUUCCCAGCUCUAACUUGAUACUCCUUUUGUCUUCUAUUUACAUGUCUUUCGAAUUAGGAUUAAUUUGAAUAUAUUUUUAGGCUUAAAAAAGUUGCAGGCUAUAAGUAUAAUAGUUUGUGGUGCUGAUGUUAUCUAAGUUGGCCGCUACCGCAGCAGCAGCAGCACCAGUUUCGACGACCAGAAGAACAGAGUUCGUUGUUAAUAAAAAAAGGAUCCGAAGACCGGGGGAUUGAACCCGACGUGAAUCGAACACGCAACCUUCUGAUCUGGAGUCAGACGCGCUACCAUUGCGCCACGGAUCCGGUCGGUGUUCUCCUACUUACCUUUUGGAUUAUAAUACUUUUACAAAUCCAUGCAUUGAACCUUUUUUGUUUUCUUUAUAUAAUAGGCCUUUCAGUUUGGGCCAAAAAUGGAGUAGCAGACUUGCUCUUACAGGCCUUUUGACAUGGGCCUUGGAGGAUUACCCACCAGCACUUGGGCAGUACUCGAUCAAUGCUGCAUGUCCAAGAUCUCUUCUUGAGGAUUUUCAUAAGCAACAAUCCAUACUGGCACUGCACUGGUUUAUUGUAUUGGUUCAACCAUGUGUAAGGUACUACUCGAUACCAAUAUUCGAUGUUGUAUUGUUCUACAAUUAUAGUACCAAACCCUAAUUGAGUAAGUGGCGUUUGGGUGUGUACGAAUAUCUAGCGCGAUAGAGUUGAAUUCUUAUUUUACUAGUGGAAUUAAUAAAGAGAACAAUUUGAAGAUACAAACCAAGCAAAAAAAUCAAUGGUUCCAAAACGGUGAAGGUAGAAAAGAAAAACCGAACAACCAUAAUUCUGGUCAGGAAUCAACCGAACAAACUCAUGCAACCCUAAGAAACUGGAGAGUAACAACAUCAUUCGAAGUUUAGAAAACCUUAACGCCCACAUUAAUAAUAACCCCAAGAUGAUCACACGCCGCCCUCAGAAACCUUUGAAUUACGUGCAGUAAACUGGCAGGACAAAUCUGUAUAAAAAUACUCUAAUAAAUUGUCUGGUGAAAUUUAAACGGAUCCGUUACAGUGCGGUGACGACGACGUUUGUUCAUUGUUGGCUGGCUGGCUGAAUACGGAGGCUCCACUCCACCGCCGCAAGGCCAAGAAGGAAAUUAAAGAUGAUCCAAUCUUUCCUGUUAACGGUCACAAACCCCGUCAUUGUCACAAGAUUCAAUACCUUAAUCACCAUGAACAUGGCACUACCCACGUACAUUGUCCCCACAAUAAUGGAAAAUUAUGAACGCAACUUCUGCCUUUAGUUUCUUUUGGGCUUAUUUUGUUUUUGGAGAGUUUAAAAACAAAUAGUAAAGAAAUCAUGAUCAUGGAUCUUAUACGCUUCACAAAUUGGCGACAUGUUCCAUGUUUUGUGGUUAUUUCUAAUCCAACUCUCAUUAAUCUAUUGGUAUUAUGAAACUUAAAACGUUCUUCUCAUAGUUUUGACGUCUGUAUUGUUCUCCUAUGUUGUGAUGUUUUAGUUACUCUUUUUUCCGACGACCAUAAAGUGACAUGUAACAUAUAUUUUACGGUUCAUUUUGAAUCUAAUUUGAUUGUUUUUUUAUGAAUUUAUAUUCUCUUAUAUGCACAUUAUUGCUUGACAUGUACUUUGUGAUUUUCAUGUUUAAAACAUGGAUAAUCUUUCUAGAGAUGAUAAAGUUGAAAAUGGAAAAAAAUGUUGCUGGAUUCGAGAAUAUUUAUUUAAAAAUUUAGAGUAUUAGAGGGAGCACAUUGUAAAUUUUUUUUUUACAGGCAAAAGAAAAGAUACCCAGCAUGCAUAAACCAAAAUGAGCUAAAGAGUGUAUGAAUAAUAAUAUAAAUAAAUCAAUCACUUUCCAAGUAAGAAAAAGGAAGCAUUAUUGGAGAGGCUCAGCUGGAUCCACUUGUGUUUUUGCAGCUAAACACAAAAAGCAACCCCUGAAUGUGAAAGGCCGACCUGCAAAUGCAAAGGCAUGUGCGGAUGAUCAUGGCCACAAUGAACAAACUUAAGGAGCCUGUUAUAUAUUAUAAAUUGGGAAAUAAGCUAAAUGGAAAUAAAUUUAAACAGACGACACAAUUUAUCUUACAUGAAAAAUAAAUUUGAGAAAAUAUUAUGUACGAACGGUCGGUGAUUGGUGACGAUAAAAGCUCCACUAUAUCUGUUGAGUGUUAUUACACAUUUUCAUCCCAAAAUUUAAUUUAAAAAAAACCGUUUUUUCUUUUUUAUAUAAAAAAGAGGUUUUCUCUCACAUUUAAAGUGCACCUACCCUUUUUCACUCAUAAAAUAUUACAAGUUGUAUAGAUUUAAUGAUUUUGUGAUAUCUCAAAUGACUAAAACUGCGCAAAGAUAAUUAAAAUAGGUGAAACGAGUAGUACAAUGAAAAUAAAAAGUACAGAGUGAUCUAUACCACGAAUGCUCCUCCUAUGAGCUCGGUUGAUCAGUACCUUUGACACAGGAAGAUUUAGAUCGCUAAACUUCAACAAAAUCAAUUUGAACGACCAUCCAUGAUAUUCCGAUCACCGAGCAACAAAAUUUAAGGUAAAAUUGUCUGAGAUCAAAAUAUUUUAUUGCAUCUAUGUAUCUCGAGUGUGGUGUUUUCAAACUUACCGGACUCCGGUCAAUUGGUUCUCUGCUUCCUUGGCCACUUGCGGAACUCCAUGAAGAAUAUUCAAGCUAGGGGUGCUAACAGUAGAACAAGUGCAAGAGUGCAAAACAAACGUUUCAUUCUCAAACUCCCACCCACCUAAAUUUUGUCUUAGGUUGUUAUCCGCAACCAGUACGGAUUUGACGUGGAAUGUAACAAAUGUCUUAUUGACAGACGACAGGUUAAGAUAUAUACUAUUGGACAAAUGCCUAAUUAACGGCUAAUUGCAAUUAGCAGCACGGCUGUCGGCUGGUGUAUUCCAUGCUCUCUUUUGUCCAAAUAAUUAUUAGCCGCUAAGUAUAUUGUUGGAAAUAAUUAUUAUGUCUUGAAUGCAUAAUGAGACGAGUCGUAUGUAUCUUGAAGAUUCUCCAAUGUUGUUGUGAUCCAAGGGACAAAUAGAAGUGACAAAAGCUAGCUAGUGAUUCCUAAUGUAAUCGGGAUUAUAUUUCAGUCUUAAGUGUUAACCUAGAAAGUAAUGUUUCAUAAACAGUAAAAGUUGGACUCAAACUUGGAUUGGAGAGGGUACAGAGAGAGUCAUGACAUUAUUGAUUGGAGAUGGAUCCCACAAAUAUGAAAAAAGGAAGGGAAAGGCAAAUUUGGUUAGAAAGACUACAACUACAACUAGUUGUGGUGUGUUAGUGUGUAGUGUGGGUGGUGGUAGUAACAAAAAGAAAAGAGACAAUCCUCCACCGCCCAGCCUGGAAAAGGGGCCUUUGAAUUCACAGUAUAGUUUCCAUUCAUCUCUCUGUUGUUUAAUCGCCCCACAAAGAGAUGAAUUGAAUGGUUCAUGGGUGUGAAUCUGCAAAGAAACCCUACCCUUGUUGGGUUAAGUCAAAACACUUUUUCUAUUGUGUCUACACCUGCGUUGGAAACGUUAUGAACAGAGCAAGGAAGCAUUAUUGUGCAAGUAAAACUUAACAAAUAUAUAUGAUACAAUGUUGGGACCUCUGAAUCAAAUUGUUCCGAUCAUACAAUAAAUAAAAACACGUGUCUUCUAACAUUUUUGUUUCAGAAAUGACAAGAAAUCAUCAGCUGAACAUGGGCACAAAUGGACUGAUUGUCUGUCUGGUUUGGAGAAAUUCCUGGAUGAAAAUGUGGGGUUCAGAUCACCAUGCAUGCACCCCCCCUCUCUAUUAAACGUCACUACUGACUCUUUCAGUUACAUAACAUGUGGGUUUCCUAAAUUAGUCAUUCACCAGUUCUUACUGCUAAGUAAUAGCAGUUAAAAUGUGCGAGUACGAGGAAGAGAAUGUACCUAGUACCUGAAGAAUUGACAAUUAUCAUUGAGCUCUGAUCUGCGUCGACUGGCCAUGAAACAUCAUAUCUUUCGGAUAUUGUGGUUGAUGAAACAUCAUAUCUUUCGGAUAUUUACGCUAGCAGAACCAGAGAGAGCAACAAGAUGAAGAAGAAGACAAACAAAAGCAGCUCAGCAAAGCGGUUUCCUCUUUCUCAGAGAAGCCAACCAUGUGUAUGGAUCUUCCUUAGCGUCCGCGUCACGUCUGCGGGAAAUCUCAACUCUUGCCACCUCACCACCAUCCACGUGUACAACUAACUGUUCCACCUGGUCAAACUCUAUCUCCCAUAACCUCACCUCACUAACCCAAUCUGGCUUCUUCCGCUUUCCUUCCCAGUAUCAUUAAACCAAUUGAACGGAAAUAAAUUAUCUUAGAUAUAUAAAUAAUCUCCAUCUCCAUACCAUACCAUACCCUCCCCAAAAAUAAUUGAAAUUUCGUCAUGACCAUCACCGAGUUUUGGUGGUCCGCAUUCUGUUUCGACAUAACAGACUAAUUAUACAAUAGAGUUGAACUACACAUGUACUCUUUAUUGUCCUUUUUGAUCGAUUAUCAAAUGAAACAUAUACAUUAAAAAAGGAUGCAGACCACCAACGUUGUUCUGAAUAAUGAAAUGGUUGUUUGGAAUAGGAAUAAUCACAUAUACAUUGAGUUCAGUAGACAAGCAUGAGUAUGUGUUGUGACUUCGACUAUUAAAAAUGAUUCGAUUAAAUAACUAUAAAUAAUCGACUAAUCCUAUUAUAUUAAUAAUUGGAGGAGACAAGCUCCCUGCUAAGUAAAAAUCUAAAAGGUGCCGCUCUCUCUUGCUUUUCCUUCCUUUCUUUCUUUCUUUCUUUCUUUCUAUCUUCUUUCCCCCAUUUUUCAAUUGCUUUCAUCAUUGCUUUGGAUCAACUAUUCACACCAAUACCCAAUUCAAUACCACUAUGGUUAAUAUACAACCCGAGCCGAGAAGAGACAACCCGAGCUACAUAUGACUCGCUCUGUGAAUCGUAUUCAACCAUCCAAUGAGUCGAGCCGAGUCUUAUACAUCUCCAGCCAAACUCAUUUCAACUCAAAUUUAGUUAAUUUAGCUCUCGAGUAUGUUCACAAUAAUUUUAUUGAAUAUAAAUUUUAUCGAAUCAAACACCAAGCUAACCACGAGCGCUGUACGAGUAAAAUGCAACGUGGUUGAGAAAUAACAAGCAAACUUUCACUAGAAUACAAAGAACAAUCUCAUCCUCUUCUUCCUCCUUCUCUUCCUUUAUUUUACACCUAACAAGUAACACCUCUCCAUCCUCUGUCCACUCAUUUCCCUCUUCUUUCUCUCCCAAUUUCAUCAAACUUCAAACCUUGCUUCUCCUCCCAUGGCCACCGGAAUGGCCAUAACCAUCUUUUCCAUUCUCGCAUUCCUCCUAUCCAUCUCCUCCUCCGCCGAUGCACUGCCCAAUUCCAGGGCAUUGUACGAAAUCGCCUGCGAAAUGUGCACAACCUGCUGCGGAUCCACUCCAACCCCGUCUCUGCCACCUCCCUCUCCGCCGCCGCCGUCCCCACCUCCGCCGUCCACCACUCCUUACUGCCCACCUCCUCCUUCCCCGCCGUCCUCCGGAUCAGGUGGGUACUACAGCUCCCCGCCGCCGCCUUCUUCCAGCUCAGGAUACUACCCGCCCCCAGCCAAGGGCAGCGGUGGAGGAGGCGACGGCAUCGGAGGGACGUACAACUACCCGCCGCCGACGUACCAGAACUACCCGGGCCCUCCUCCGCCGAACCCGAUAGUGCCUUACUUCCCUUUUUACUUCCACAGUCCUCCGCCGCCUGGCUCCUCUGCCUCUAGCCUGAAGAUUGGAUCCCGAUUCGGAAUCCACCACUGGUGUAGCUCAGUCGUUGCUGCGGUCGCUAUUCUGCUCUGCUUUUCUUGAUUGCGACAUCAAGAAAAUGAAAAAAAGGAAGUUGUAGCGGAUUGGUAGAUCUGUGGGGAGUUCAGAGGGAACAGAGACUUUCGAGGAGUGGGAUCUCCGGCCGGUGGAAGUUUCCGGUUUCUUUGAUCUGGUAAUCUGUUGAACGACCAAAAAGAUGUUGUACCAUUAGAAAAAAAGGAUUCUUACUUUCUAUUUUAUUUUGUAGCUCUCUCUGCUUUUGGUUUCUGCAAAUUUGUAUGUAUGAAGAACAUCAUGAAUUCAGAUGAAUCCCAGUAAUUACUAAUUAGCCCCUAAUUUUGACAAUAAAAUGCUCUUUGUUAUGAUGAAAUGUUGUCCCCCUGCAGCUUAAUUAUUUCCAGUUUAUGCAUUUCACUAACGACGGAUUUCUGAAAUCGACGGAAUUCGUGUCGGUGGGUUUACUGAAUUGAAUUGGCAUGCAUGUUAAUUAAUAAUCUGGGGAGUCUGAUCUGGAAGAAAAAUGUUGGAUUAUCUGAUCAAAUUUUAUUAUUUUAUAUAUUUAGCAUCGGAGGACACUGCAUAGCUGUUACAGGUAGAUGAACGCCGCCUGCCGGAUCUCUCUGACAGAAUGGGAAAGUAAAACGUGUUCAGUCAAUCUUAGUCGCCGGCCGAGCGCCGGUGAUUUGUUCUUUUAUUGGGUUGCACAUGGAGUGUGAAAGUGAAAGUGCGGGUGUGUGCAAUUCCCAUUUUCUACGCGGGUGCUGUCGUCUUAGUGAUUAAUCGUUAUUAUUAAUUCAUGUGGUCAAAGAAAGUAAUCAUCGAUUAAUGGGCAUAAUCAUUUACUUCUCCACCACCCUUAACUAAUCACCCUUUACUCAAUAGGGUUGCUAAAUUAGUUUCAGAGCACGAGUCUAU
rnacentral:lncRNA from 1 species